UCGUCAAGACAAGAGAAACCAGAGUCUGAGUGAAGGUCGUCAAUCCCUAAAUUUAACAGGUCAUACAGAGCUAGAGCUUUGCUCUACCUCUACAUCUGGCCCUGAGUUCUAUGAAAUCAACCCACAUUCGGAAUCCUGUUAAUGAUGAAGUGUUUUUCUUUUAAAGAAUGCUGAUCCUACUCCUGAAGGCUCUGAAUGGAUUUACUGAUCUGCAUCUCCAUCUUAAUGAGCAUCCUAAAGUUUUGGUUAUUUAAUCAAACUUCUAUUCAAUGGAGCUACAUCCGCAUCUUGUACAUCAAUUUUUUAUUUAUUUUUUAUUUGGUCUAUAGUUCUCUUUAAAAGUGAGAGUCUGUUGUAUAAAAUUUCAAGAAAUUUUGUAGUACAAUUAGAUUCUCAUAUUUUAAUAAAUGUGCUCCUGGCAAAAGAUUGAUGUAAAUAUGUAAUGCAGAAACUGACUUGGGUGUGCAUGACCUGUGAUCUGGUAGCUGUUUACUGAAGUAACCCACUUUUCUCAUGUGAAGAAAAUCACAUAUUUAACAGCAUUCUAUGGAGUGAUAUUCCAGCAAACAUAUUCAAUGUCACAAAUUUAACCUCACAAGGGUUGGAGUUCAAUUUUGAUUCAGAUUGAAGUCCAUUCUGGCCUUAUAAGGAUACAUCAUGUAGCCUAUACAAAUUAGAAUCAAAAUCUAAAGAAAUUGCCUUAUCACAUGGGAUCAAUGAGAAACAAAUCUAAAGGAUAAAUUUACACUUUAAUAUAAGAAUAUAUCUUUUUCUUGGAUAGGGUUGCUGUCAUGGAUGGUGCUAUGUGCAUACUACUUUCACCAUAUAAAAAAUGCUUUUCUUUCUUUGUCUUUUGUUUUUUGUUUUUUGUUUUAGAUUCAAUUAUCAUGUAAAACAGAUGAUAAAUAACAUAAGGGCUUUCUUCCAUUAUUUGAUAUCUCAUGUAAUAUAUAUGAGAUGAAAACUGUCAACAUCUUGACUUACGUGGCAACUAGGAACUCUCAUGUAAAAAUAAUUAUAAAAUACAAAUUUUCUAAAAAUUAUUUAAGUUUUAUUUAUUUACCGAUCAAAGGUAGUUUCGAAAAGAUAAAUGAUAAUACUUAUAUCAUUAAAAGGUAAUAUCUGAAAAGUUAAAGGUAGCAUCUUUGAUCAUAAAGUGUAUAAAAUGUUAAUUAUUUUUAAUUAUCUAUUUAAUUUUUAUUUUUUAUAAAUUGAUUUCCUAUUUUAUGUUUAUUUUUUUCAUAUGAAUACAUGGAAGCAUACUUUUCUUUUCUUUAAUACGAAAAAAAGAUAUAACGUGUGAGACAAUUACCCCAUUUUUUUUCAUCAUAAUGGCUACAUGUGAUUUGCUUUUAUUAUGAGAAAAUGUCUCACUUUGUUGUUAGAAAAUAUAAUAAUUACUUUAUUUUCUCUUUGAUGAUGACAUUUAUCAAAAUCACUCUCAUAUCAAAUUUGUUAUGUCAAGCUCAUUAGGACAAAAUUUUCAAAGAUCAUUAUACCAAAGUUUCAAAACUCGUAAUGACAAAAUUUACAAAACAAAUGAAACUUUAUACAUGCACUCUUCCAAACAACACUUACAUACGACUCCUCUUUUUCACCCCCAAUUGUUGACUUUUUAUAUUGCAUGAUGUCGGUUCCCCAUUCAUUUCUUUUGAAUUCUAGUUUGAUAAACCAAUGGGCAAAGAUGGCACGGCACCAAAGCCAUACUACAAGACUUUUGACCUUCAAGAUAUUCUAAGACGCAUCUUACCAUUUUGACAACCUAUGCAUUCAAUAAUUGGGAACCAAUUUUCGUAAAUCAGGAGGUUUGUUAGGAAUUGGAUGACAGUGGCCAAGGUUGGUUUGUCCUCAUGGAUAACGACAAUUAUAAUUGGGUUUGAUUCCACCUGAUUUUUAUAAUUUACGUAUUUUUCCAUGCUGAUAAGCUGGGUGCAUGGGGAGUGGUUUCCUCGUAAAUAUACUUGAAUAUUUUAGAUAUUCCAUAUGAUGGAGAGAGUAGGUAAAGGGAACAAAUGCCACCAUUCAAAGUAAAAUAUUUUUUGAAUUUUAAAUCCAUUUAUCUUUUGUUUUUAUCUCUUCCCUUUUGGUACGUAUAAAUCUUAUAGCCCUAAAGUUAAUCGUCGGGUAAAUCCUCUAAUGGCUCUAAGGGGAUUCAAACUGGUGACUAUUGAAGAGUAAAUAUAAGGACGGACCAAUUGAGCUGCCCUUCAGAGUUUAAAUCUCAUAAAUAUUAUGUACUCUGAAACCUAAAAAGAUCUUCACAAUUUUAAAACGAGUUUAUAAGAUUAAGAAGAGUUCAUACAUAUAUGCCGUCAAUAAUUUUCUCUUCUAUCCGAUACGAAACAUCAUAAUAUAUGAAUCAAGUAUAGUAUUAAUAUGAAAAUAAAAUGCAAUAAAUGAGUCUACAAAUGUAUAAAAUUAAGUACAAACGAUGAAACCAUGUAAAGAGAAAUGAAACUAAAUUAUAAAAUAACCAUUUAUAAAGCAAUAAGUAAUAACAUCAUAUUUAGAUAUGUGAGAUAAUUUGAUUUGUGAUGUCUUUCAAAAAAUUAUUAUUAAAUCUAAUGUUGUAAUUAAAAAACAUCUAAAAAGGUGGUGGUUGAGAAAUAUUUUUCAAAUAUCCAGAUCCAUUUCCAAUUUUCCACAACUCUUAACAUAAUGAAAUUUCUAAGACAAAAAUGAUUCAACUUAAAUGUGAAAUGCAGUAAUUGUUAAAAAAGUUCAUAUAUAUAGUUUGAUUAAUGGUUUUUUUUUUUUCUUUUCUAAAUUGAUAUUAUUGACGGUGUAUUAAUUUAUAAUCUUUUUCAGAAACCCAGAUUAGCACUUUCUGUUGCGUGUGGCUCCGUCCAGUUGUCCAAAAACUUAAAGCCCAUAGGAAAUGAUGGCAAAGAAACUGAGAGCUUUCAGUUGCAUGCAUCUUAAAUCUCAAUCAAGUCAGGGAAAAGUCUAAGCUGUAAGCUGUCAGCUGACCGGAAUGAAAAUUACUUUAAGUAAGAAAUGGGCUACUGCCUACUCCUCUCUACUUUAUGCUUCUCUGCUUCACCAUUUCCGCAAUUUUCACAACUCUCUAGUCUCUCCCUACCGACCUCACCAGCCGGAUCAGCUUAACCGGCUCCUUCACGUUCCAAGGAUUUUCAACUUAUGAUUCCGUUCCGCUUUUUUGUUUUCUUCAUUCUUUCUCUCACUUUUUGCUGUGGAUUUGUCCACCCCAAGGUGCCCCAAGCCGAAGGUACCUUCAUAUCUCUUUGUGUUUGGUUGCCCACAAAAUGCUGGAAAUGCUAUAAUGUGACUGUUGGUUGCAAGUUUUCUUGUUUUUUUUUUCGGGGAAAGGGGAAAGGAUAUCAGAAAUUGAGCUCAAAGCACGGUUGAAUAUGAUUUAAGAUUUUGUUUUGUUUUUCGCAUACAUUUAGAAGUUUUCUUCUUCUCUGUUCUACCUCAAAUGUGGUCCUGUUCCGUUCUCAUGGUUUUGGAUUGAUCGACAGUUCGAGAACAUCAGAAACUAAAUUACUAGAGUGCCCUUCUUUCUUGUUUUUACUUUUUAUAGCGGAUUAGGAAGGGGACUCUGGAAUCAGGAACGACGGUCAAUGUUAAGCUGAUCCACAGAGAUUGGCUGGUUUGUGAGCUUUCGUGUUUUGAUUAUUAUUAUUAUAUUGCUGUUUGGUUGAGGAGUGUUUUCUUACUGAGAAAGUCUGGUCUCCAUUGGUAGUGAGGCUCAAAAACUUCCUGAAAAUGGUGUUACAGUGCCAGUUCGAAUCGUUUUGUUUAAUUAUUUUCUAAUUUCUGGUGAUGAAGCAUUUCCAUCUAUUCCUUGUUUUUUUUUUCACAUUUAACAUGAACAUUUUGCAUUUGUUUGAGUGAAGAAGUUUCUGUAGACAGAAAAUUUACUUAUUCUCGUAGUCCUUGUGCAGUAUAUCAUAAUUCUGCACGCUAGACGUGGUUCCAUGUAUAUCACCGACUACUUAUAAGUUCAGAAACUCCCUAAUUCUUCUUAAUUUCAUCUAAGAUGUAUUUGAAGAUUUUUAUUAAGAUCACAACUUGGUCUCAAUGGGCUGGGCAAAGGGUUGGUCAAGGCCCACCCCACUUUGUUUGCUUUGAGCUUCAGUCAUCUACUCCUUGUGCUAGAACUAGCCAUCUAGACUCACUCCAAUAGAGUCACAUGCACAUCCACUGACUCAACCACCGGUUUAUCAGCAUGGCUACCUCCACAAUAUGCUGCCUGCCUCCAACACCCAAUCCAAUAGGACCAAUACUGCCACCAUUCCUAGGACAACAUACCACCAUCACCACAGCUUCUAACUGUCACUGCAACCCUACGACAUUGGCACUUCCAACACAUCCUUUUGUACCAUGGUUAUCUUUAGUACUUGUACCAUCUCUAUGGUACCAUCAUCACAAGCACAAAUUGAUUUUUCGAUUAAAGUGACUUUUAUAUAGGCCAAAGCACUCACUUCAAUUGCACUCAAUAGCACUAUGGUUGAGUUCGGCAAGAAAAGAUAGAUAAAAGAAAUGAGUACGUCUGUGAGAAGAUACAUGUGGUGCAAAUACAGAUGAAAUGAGAGAGAAUUUUCUAAGAUAUUCUGAAUCUUGUGCAAAAGAUCAGCUGUCACCAAUACUGUAUUGGUAUUGAAGCACUACAGGAACAAAAGAAAAUCAAAAGUGAUCAUUAGGAGUAGAAAACCAAGCUGGGCUUAUGGUUAAACAGACAACUUGAACCUAGAUUGGGCUGAAUGAAGGAAAAUGAUUUGUGUAACCAACUAUAAGUAGUUGAACAGGCAUUUGAGUUGAGUUGAUUGUAUUGGUGAUGCACAGAUUAUUCAUAUCAUGUCCAAAUAUUGAGGGGAAUUUCAAACUUAAUUUGAAUAUCUUCAAAUGAAAUUUCCUCUUCUUUCCUUGUAUAACUGAUAUGCUUUGCACUUGCACUCAAAUUCCAGUCAUGAAAUUCUUUUUUUUAAACCAUUCCUUAAAGUUUUGAUGAUUUGGUAUUUAUCAGUAACUUUGUGGAGGAAAUGAAUUUGGUAUAAUUAGGUUCCUGCAUGGAAUUUUACCAAUAAAUUUUUAAAUUCACAGUUAAUCUAUGCAUCAAAUAAUCUCUUUACCCCUGGUCUUAUCACAAUGCCAUCAUCCAUUUGUCCAUCAUUAUCUAUAUAAUUAGCUUUCCCAACAAGAAAAUUGUUUGUUUUCUUAUUAUAUAGUUGGUAGACUUUGUUUCUAAUAUUCAUAUCCCCUUUUUAUCAGAAACAAGUCCAUUAAUACGGAUUUGAGAGUACAACUAAAAUGAACUAUCCUGCAAAGAAGUUACAAAAAUAACCAAACGAGUGCACUAAACAACUAAAUCUUCAUUAUUUCUCAUCAUUGUUUUUUUACAUAUUCACAUCUUGCAACAUUAUUUUAUCAUCUAAUUCUUGUUUGUUAAUGAAUGUCCACUAGUGGAUGCUCUUCAACGAAUAAUCAGAACAAUGGGAGCUACAUAUUGGAAGUUUAAUGGGGAUUCUUGCCAAAUUGAAAUGGUUGGGUUAACACCACAACCACCAAGGGGAUCUGAGCAAAGCAUUGUUUGUGAAAAUUUCUCUGAGAAGAACCGCACUCUCCUUCAUGUCAUACGCAUGUAUAUCUCUCUCCUCUUAUUACUUAAUAUUUUGAAUUAACUUUGUAUGCUCUAUAUAUCUGGAUUAUGAUGCAUAUUAGAUAUUCCAUCUUGAAGCAUAUAUUAUGAUAUAAAAAUAGAUAUAAUGAAAUUAUAAAAGGAGCAGGUAGGUGCUUUUAUUGCCACAAGCCCAUUGCUUAGCUUUGCACUAGUAAAAAAGAAGCAUUUUUUAUCAGAUAGGAAAAAAGAAUCAUUGCACUGUAUUUUUUGCUGAAAGUCCUUUUGGUUUGAACUUUCCAAGUUGAAUUUGGAUAUUAAUAUUUUUAUAUUGGUAUUUAGUAUAUACUUUUUUUUCCUAGUAUAUUAUCCAGCCUUGAAAAAUUCAGUUAAAAACUGAACCAUGUGGGAGAUUAUUAAUCCAACCUUAACUUGUUUGGGGUAAUUAUUAAGGCCAAAAUCCUUGCUUUACCAGAGGGUAACAGAGUUGCAAAGGAUUUGAGUGUCACUGAUCUACUAGUGGAGGUUCUGCCUUGGUGAUUAGCCUUGGAAAUAUAAUUAUUGAAUGUGGAGAUUGUGAAUCUUGCCAGGGGGCUGGGUUGCUCUUUGAUAUGGACGUAUAGAUUGGCUUAUCAGGAGCCGACAGAUUGAUCAAGAGAGGAGCCUUUUCUUUUGUUGAUUUUGUUGAGGAUCUCAUAUCCCCUGGAGUUUUAUUACUUCAUAAACUUAGGGGCAAGAAGCCAAAAGCUUUCUGCUGUGAAAAUUUUGUUUUCUCUCUUUUUAUGCUCUCCUAAAUUUUUCAUUUUUGAAAGGUUUCUCGUCAUUCUUUCUGUUACAUCUUACAUCCAUCUAAUGCAAUACAAAUGCCACUUCUUAUUAAACACAAACUAUAUACACACAUACACACAAACCCAACCCUUUGAAUUUAUAAGAAAAUACAUUGAUUCUUUCAUGACAUAAAUGUUUGUUAGUCUUUAGUCUGUCCAUGUGUAGUGGUCUCCUUGCUCAGCCAUUAGUGAGAGGCAAGCAUCUUUCAACUCAAUGGACAGAUAAAACAAUCUUCGAAAGGUUUUUGCUGUGUGUUGUCAAGGUCACUAAUACAUUUCUCUCCCAAAUUCGUUUGUGCCUUUUUGUGUGUGUGUGUUUUCAGGGUUACAUUUGAAAAUUGAGUAAUAUUGUCAUUUAAGAAUUUGGCAGAGGUAUAUUGCCUGUCUCUGUUGAACUUUUGGAACUUGUUAGACACUCAGUUCUCUUUGCCCUUAGUUGAAGUGGAGGGUGCCCUCAUGCCACUUCAAUAAUUUACAAGAUUUACAAGGAUUCUUCACCAUCUCUGGAUGUAUAUGAACAAAAAAAAAAGCCUAAUUUUGGGUUCAUCUGGUUGUAUGCUUGUCUUUGGUGAAUUCUGCUGGACAGUCCUUUUUCUCCUCAUCCAUUGAGUCACUAUCUUGAUCACUUCUCCUCAACCUUGGAGUAGGAGAGGCACAGAGAGCAAGUUCGACAUCUAGAGAUUGAAAAGCAAAUGAGGAAGAGCCUUAGUGAGGAUGCUUCCAGUUGAUUAUCAAGGGAAACAAAUUGAGCAACUAGAGAUCGAAGGACAACGUGAACAUAGUGAUACUCCAGCCUGAUGGGCUUCCAUAGAGAAAGAAAAACAGCAUUGAUGGUCAUGUAAUGGACAUUUGUGCUACAACAUAGGGAUGAUUAUAGAUGAUUUUCUGACAUUGAAAUGGUAAAUGAUAUCCCAUUAAAGCCAUUGUAGCUGCUAUUAAGCUGUUUUCAGCUUCUGCAUUGGGGCAAGCUAUAGUCUUCUGGUUCUUUACAUUCCACGUGAUACAUAAAUACAGCCACCAUACCACGAUUUUCUUUAGUCAGUUGUUGUUCAUCUAAUGGAAGCCUGACUCAAUGAGUCAGACCUGCCAAAAACAUUAGCAAAUGCUUAGAUACCUAUAAUGUGGAGAAGAAAAAGCAGAGAGUGCCACUGAUAUACUGAAGAUUAUGCUUUAUGAUGUAAAAUUUCCAUGGUUGACAUUAUCAGUGGAUUGACCUACAGAGGCAAAGCAAUAGGACAGGUGAAGGUUUGUAAAGAAUUAGUCUUGGGUACUUAAAUACAAGUGAGAUUUGUAAAUAAAUGUUCUUGAGCUCCUAUGAUGUUCUAAUGGUGAGUUGGAUUUGGUUAAAGUCCAUGGUCUGGUAACCAUGUGACUUGGGCAUAUGAGAUUGUAAAUUUCGGCCUCUAUGAGAUUUAGAAUCUUGUGGACGCUCUAGUUUGGAAUAGGACCAACUGAUAGAAUAGUUGAACCUUUUUUUGGAUAGGAAAAAGAAGAAAUGGUAGAGAAGUGUUGCUAAUGCUAUGAUGCCAUCUUUUUGACAGAAAAUUUAUUGCUCGGACAAUCAGGAAAGUUGUGUUCUUUUACUGGGUAGAGAAAUUUAGUGUCAUCGGCAUGCAGAAGGAGAAUCAGGAUCCCAUUUCUCGAGAAAUAAAGAAAAAAAAUUGAUCACUAAACCUCAAAAAUAACCCAAUGAAAAUUGUUACUGAACUAUUGGGACCCAGCCAGUGGGGCCUAUUUUCAACUCUUAUAGGGAAUGGUGAAUCUAAUAUAUGUAGUAAAAUCAUGCCGGUUGAUUCAUGAACAUUAAUUCUGAAAGGACAUGUUUGCAGGAAGGCUGUUUCUAUUUUUAUUUGCCUUGUCUGCCAUCUCUUGAUCAUUAUUCACAAUUUGUGUAAUUUGAAUGCUUAUUAGACUGACACAAUUAGAGUUGGUUUUCUUCAAAAUUUUAACUGUUACCUAUUCAUAGCUCUUAGUAAUUAAUCUGACCUUUAUUCCACCAUUGCUCCAUUUAACCUUAGUCUUAAUUAAGCCAUCUAUUCCAACUAUGUCAAUGCCAGGAUGUCAUGGACAUGGAGCGAGAUCUGUCAUGUUAUUGUGAAGGAAAUCAAGCACUAUUCUAUUGUUGAAAGUAAUCUUCUGGAUGGUUUUCUGAAUGAAUUGUCUUUGAUAUCUUAGAAUGGAAUCCGUUACAUGAAUAUUGACAUACUUGGGAUUUGUCUACAAAUUGCAUUUCAAACAUGUCCAUUUCUUUGUUAAGAUUACAUUGACCAUGUGUUUGAAGACUUCAUUUCAAGUAUCAGUGCACAACCCCGAUUAUGCUAUAAUAAUAUAGAAUAUUGUUUCUAUUAAUCUGAUUUUUCUAUCAGCAGCUGCCCCUGGGCAUAAAACUCAAACUUUGAUUUCCCAUGUGUUAUAGUGUUCUAAAGGGGUAUAGUCUUCCUGGCAUGCUUCCACCUGAACUGGUCGAGCUUCAAUACCUCCGAGAGAUGUAAGACCAUUCUCAACUCAGGCAUUUGAAGUUUUACAUUUUUCUAACCCUAAUUUCUUACAUGCUCUACCAGAAGUGAAUACAACUUUAAACACUGAAAUUACUUCCAUUUUGUCCCAUUUGUAGAGAUUUUGCUUACAAUUACCUUGGUGGUACGAUACCACAUGAAUGGGCUUCAACACAAUUGAAUUCAAUGUGAGCGUUUCUUUCCCCCCUACUUCUGCUGUAAGUUUAGCAAUUAGAGCUCCCUUCUUCAUAAAAUUAACUAAGAAAAUGUUAAUGCAGCUCUCUACUUGCUAACCGCUUAUCAGGGGAAAUUCCAAAGGAAUUGGGAAAUAUCGCCAGUCUCACAUACUUGUAGGUCUCAAUUUUGAAGCUUUGGUUAUCAUUUUUGUAUUUCCCUUCCUUUCCUUGGAUGGUUCUCUGGCGAUCAGAUUCCAUGUGAUAGAGGUGAAGUUGUGAAAAGUAGCAAUAGAAUGGGCAAUUGGGCCAGCACAACUUUUUCCCAUUUUAUUUGUUUUAAUUUGUCACUUGAAACUGAAGUAGCAGGAUGCAUGUUUUUCUGCCCAUCUCUUGUGGAAUCACUACAUUCUGUUUUUUCCCUUUCAUUCAAGAUAUGUCUUUUAAAGAGUGUGAUGGGUAUUUUGUUCUUCUCUUUUAGUAAUCUCAAUGGAGACUUUUAACCAGGAACCUUGAAGCAAACAAAUUUUCUGGCGUUCUUCCUCCUGAGCUUGGGGAUUUAAUUAAUUUGAAAACUCUGUAAGACAUCUUGUUUCUUCUUCCUUUAAUUUUUUACUUUUUGAAUUCCAUUCCAAAUUUAACAUGCAUAUGACCAAUGAAAGAACAUCUAACCUGUCGGUUUUGCUCUGUGAUGUUAUUGCAGGAUGCUAUCUUCUAAUCAGUUCUUUGGAAAUUUGCCAACUACACUAGCUGGACUUAUAAACAUAACAGAUUUGUAAGAAUCAUAAUAUUAUGCAAACAAAAAAAAAUCCCCUCUACCCUCACUCCCCCACUCCCCUCCACGCGAAUAUUUUCCUUUUACUUGGUACAUGAAUUUGCAUGAUCAUACCAAUUCAGUGCCAUUUUGUUGCAAUAUGCAGUAGGAUAAAUGAUAACAACUUCAGUGGACCAAUACCAGAUUAUAUACAAAACUGGAAACAACUUACAAGAAUGUAAGAUUCAUUUCUUUCCUAGAAAAAUUUAAGUUCCUUUGAAUUUUGAGAGUAGAAAAAUGUAAAUAUUUUCUAAUAAUUAUGUGAAAAUUUGUGUCAAUGAAGAGAAAUGCAAGCAAGCGGACUGGAGGGACCUAUUCCAUUAAGCAUUUCUCUUUUGGAUAAGUUAACUGAGUUGUGAGUAUAGAGCCUUCUCAAGUCCAUAACUGUUCUUUGGGUGCUUGAUUGCUAUGUUUUCUUAGUACUGGUUUACUGUUAUUGGUUUUUUUUUCUCUUUUCUUUUUCCCAUAGUUGCAUUUUUUUUAUGCAGGAGGAUUAGUGAUAUGACUGGGAAAAGUCAAGGUUUUCCUUUGCUGAACAACAUGACUGGCAUAAUAAACUUGUAUGUUUGAUGCCUAUAGGCAUUGGAUAUUUAUGAAGGCAAACUCACAUCUUCUUUAUGAUAUUUAGUUUACAUGAUUGGAUUAUGGAUUUAGGGUUUUGAGGAAUUGCAACAUUUCUGGAGAAAUCCCUGCAUACAUCUGGAAAAUGAAGGAGUUGGAAAUGUUGUAAGUAAAGCCUGUAAACAUGUAGUAAAUGACUUUUCUUGGUUUUCAAUGUUGCAUCGCUCACAAUGUUUACUUGGCAUGCUGAAUGUGGAGGAAGCACACAAACAAACAUUUUUUCCCUUAAUGCUUGGGUGCUGUGUUUCUAGAUCAUGAACUGGCAGAUUCUUGUGUUGCACUCAUGGUCAUGUGAGUGACAUUGUUGUCAAGUAAGAAUCUGAGGUGCUCUACAAGGAAGUGCCAUUUUAUCAAUGAGAAAAUGUCACCACUGGACCUAUCCAGCAGUAGAUAUAACUUUGACUUAAUAUAUUUCUGUUAUUUUUUUCAUUUAAUGAAUCUACUUUCUGAACAUAAAGAUCCACACGCCAAACACGCAUAAACACAUGCAGUCUCUACCAUAUAUGUAUGAAUGUAAUAUUUAUGUGUGUAUGCAUAUAUACGUUUAUUCUGUUCGAAUCUUCUUUCUCAUUGCUUGAUAUUUUGAAUAAGACAUUUAGUAAUAUAACUAUUUCAUGAUUAAGUGUAAAUUUUGUUUUUCUUUUUGAUUGGAAAAAUGAAAACAUACUGAGAAGAUGUCUAAGGGUGCAUAAUUGAGCAUGGUGGGUUUAUGAAGUUACAGCCAGGAAAGAAGGAAAGCCAGAAAAAAAAGGACAAAUGAAAAAACUAAUAGAGAAGGAAAAAGACAAAAAGUGCAGGAAAAACAACAAAGGAAGCUGCAAACCCAGCUUCUCAAACCCUAGGAACAUCAAAACUGCAGAUAGAAUAGACAUCCAAACAGUCAAUAAUGUCAAGAAAGGAGCAUCUUGUGCCUGACUAGAGAUAGUGUCCAUCACCAAUACAUACAAAGAAAUCAAGAUAUUAGUUGUCAGAUUCAACAGUUAGUGUUUCACUGCCCUGAAAAUUCUUUCAUUCCACUCCCUCCAGAUACACCACACCAUGCAAAGAGGAGCCACCCUCCAUACCUUCCUAUAUUUCUCAAUAAAUUUACCAUGCCAUCUCAACAAGCUCUCACAAUGAAUUCAGUCAGACCCAAAUGACUCCAGAUUACAAAGUCAGUAGUUAGAGCUCCAUAGUACAGACAAAGUAAAUUUUGUUUUCAGAGGGAAGAAAAAUACUCUUAGACUCUGGUACUUGAAAGCCAACACAGCUGAAAGAAAAUGGAGUCUUUCUCUUCAGGUUCAAAAAGUCUAAAAGUAGGAAGGUAAAACAUUAUUCUGCAAGGCGUUAAUCAUGAUGUGGUUAAUUGGACUAACUGACACACAAAUGGUCAGUGGAACUAUACUGGUAUGCUGAAAGAAGCAAUUGAUCUCUCCAGAAUGAUGGUCCAACUAUUUCCUGGAUUCCUGGUCCAAUAUUUUGGAUUAUACUUACUCUUGAGGAUUUUAUAGAUAUAAUUUGUCACCUUAAUUUUCUGAUUGUGGUUGUUGUUGUUUUGUAAUUUUAUGUGCAGACUCUGUUCUUUCUUCUUUUUAGUUUUUCCUUUUGUUUCUUUUGGAAUUCUUCUCCUCCAUCCUUUAUGUUUUCUCUCUUCAACAAGUUUCUUUUUUCUUAUAGAAACAAUAAGCAAACACGUUUGAUUGGUAAAUAGCUUGUAGAGAUUUUCUAAUUAACUGUCUUUUUGUGAUUUGGAUAGGGAUGUCAGUUUCAACAAGCUAGUAGGUGAAGUUCCAAGUGACUUAAGUUUAGCCAAGGCACUGAACUAUAUGUAAGUAUCAAACCCAGAAUUUGGGUAGCAUUUGGUUGUGUUUCAUCACUUUCAUUGGAAACUUACUCUCAUUAUAUUGUUCUGAAAAAACUUAAUGAGAUAGUCAAACUUUUUCCAGGAAAGAAAUUUGAUUCCAAUUUUAUUGUGAGCAACAAAUAGUUUUGCAUGAUUAUUUCUGUUUGACCAAUAAUUGUUUCCCAAAGAUGCAAAAAAAUGCAACCUCAAUGGAUACAUUAUGUUGAAUCUCUUACUAACAUUAUAUUGCUUUCAAUAUUGAAUCUCUGACUAAUUACAUUAUGUUGCUUUCAAUAGCUACUUAAGCGGCAACUUGCUAAGUGGAAAUAUACCGGACUUAUUCUUGAAGAAAGGAAGUAGUAUGUAUGUUCCUUAUCUGGGAUGCUUUGUACUCUUUUUAUUUCAGUAAUGCUUCUUGUCUUAUAAUCCUUAUCAUAUUCCAAUGAUAUAUGAACCUGCCAAGUAAGGCUGAGCCAUGCAAUGGGCUAAGUUUCUAGUUGGAUCUACUGUCAAUACGAACUAUUUCACAUGUUCCUGCUUUAAGUUUUUUUUUUUUCUUCAUGAUUCAUCCUUUUACGGCUUCAGAUUAAAUAUGAAUUUAUAACAUCCAAUAUUAUUGCUUCUAUGCAGUGAUCUAUCUUACAAUAACUUUUCAUGGCAAGGCCCUGAGCAACCUGCUUGUCAAGAGAACAUGUCAGAAUUUUUAUUUUUUAUUUUUUGUUUUAAUCUUCACCUCUUAGCUUUCAGUUAUAAAUAGUUACUUUUUAAAUACUUAGAAUUGUUUUGCCUUUUGUUAUUUUCAUAGGAAUUUGAAUGUUAACUUGUAUCGGAGCUCUUCAAUGGAGAACAACCUGUAAGAUUUUUAUUCUUCUUUCUUGCUAAAAUUGGGAAGUUAAUUACCAUGAAGGGAGGAGGAAGCUUCUAUUUUAGUGUAAUGGUUUUCUUAUGUACUUUUUUAUUGAUGAAAUAUUCUAAUUUGUUCAUAUACUAAUUGUGUGAUAGAAGGGCUGUUCUUCCAUGCUCAAAGAAUGACAAUUGUCCACAAUGUAAGUAUCUUUUGAAGUUGGAAUGUUGUGAAUCACCUUCAAAUUCAAUUUAAGUUUUGUUCUUCAAUGCAAAAUUUUGGAACUUCCUUAAUCCACCAAUCAGAUUAGGAGCUUCCUGUCUGUUAAAUAAAAGUCAAUUUUAGGCAAUCUUAGAUCCUGUUUAGAUAGGCUUUUGAAACCCAAAAGCCCUUUUUUUAAGCCUGAUAAGUGCUUCUAUCUGUUUUUAGGAGAUUGUUAGUCCUGUUUAUAUAGGCUUUUUGAAAGCCAAAUGCUCUUUUUAAGCCUAGUAAGUGCUUCUUUCUGUUUUAGGUGAUUUUUAACACUGUCUAGAUAAAGCUUUUUGAAAGAAAAACCUUUUUUUUUAAGCCUAAUAAGUGCUUAUGUCUGUUUAUAGGUGAUUGCAAUAAAAGUGUUUCUGGCUUGAAAAAAGAGCUUAACAUAUGGGCAGACUGUGUUAAUUCUCGUAGAAGCUCUUUUAUAACUACUGCAGGAAGCUUUUUUAUAUUGGGUGAAACUUUGAUAAACAAAGAUUGUACCUUUGAAAUCAUUAUUUCAACUUCAUCUAUUGGCUAAGUCCAAAAGUAAAAGCUAGUCACAAAUGGGGCUUCCAACUGAUAAAUAUUGUAAACAAAGACAAGUAAAUACUAGUUUCAGUUUAGGUUAAAUUGGCUGAAAUUAUGCUAUGAACUGUUGAAACAAGCUGCUAGCAUCUAGGUAUGGCAAAAUUUGUAUACUAGAGAUUUGUUUAAGGCGUCUUCUUAAAGAACAUAAUAUGUAUGGUGGUAUGAGUUGUGAUAUUAAAUAAAAUGUUGUAAACAAGUAGGGUUUUAUGAUUUACAAAUUGCAUCAAUGUGGGAUUGAUAUGAAAUUUCUACAAAUAAAAUUUCAAAUCAUUACGUACUAGAUGAACUUGCAAAAUCUCAAUUUUAUUUUACUUUUAUAUCUUUUAUGGCAGAUGCAUGUUCUUUCCACGUUAAUUGUGGUGGAGAUGAUUUAACCAUCAAAGAAAGUAAAAGAAAAGUUUUCUAUGAAGGAGAUGCAGAAGUUGAAGGUGGUACUGCAAAAUAUUUUAGAAGUAAAAACAGUUACUGGGGAUUGAGCAGCACCGGGGACUUCAUGGAUGAUAACAAUGACCAAAACAUGCGUUAUAUUGAAACUCUCUCAUCAGGGAACAUAUCUGGAGUGUAUACUACAGCUCGCCUUUCCCCUCUUUCACUCACUUAUUUUGGCUAUUGCUUAGAAAAUGGGGAUUAUACUUUACAGCUGCAUUUUGCUGAGAUAUAUUUCACAAAUGACAAAACAUAUGAUAGUCUUGGGAAACGCUUGUUUGACAUUUAUAUUCAGGUAUGUAGUCACAUCAGUGGAAAAUAUUUCUUUGCCAUGAACAAUGUUUUAAUAAUCUACUUGGUUGCAGGAGCAAUUGGUGCAUAAGGAUUUUAAUAUUGAAGAUGAGGCUCGUGGAGCACGAAAGCCAGUUAUGAAACAAUUUAACACAAGUGUAACAAAUAAUGUCUUAGAGAUCCGAUUUUAUUGGGCUGGCAAAGGAACAACACGAAUCCCUAGCAGAGGAGUUUAUGGCCCUCUCAUAUCAGCUAUUUCUGUGCAUCCAAGUAAGUAAUUAGGAUUUUUUAAUUCUUUGUUUAUACUUGUAUCGGUAUUAUCAUAAUGUAGGUUGCAUGUGCAUGAUGUGGACAUACACCUUUGCCUAUUUUUUGAGAACAGAAUUGACCAUGUGUUUUCAGGACAAGGUAGGCCAUCGUUCCUACCACACAGAUCAAGGCUCAAGAUGCAUUAGAACCUCCUAUGAGGGUAUUUAGUUCUUGUCUGUCACUAACUCCAUAAUUUCUUAAACAGUUUAAACACCUACUUAAAGAACCAUGAUUCACCAUCAGGCAUGUGUUCCUUGAUCUAUGUCCCUAUUACAAGUUCUGCUUCUCUUGGUGUCUGAAUAUCUUGUUUCACUAGCAUUAAGGAUGAGAAGAAAGUGAUGUAGUUUUUAGAAUAAAGUGAUGUAGUUUUUCCUCUUUCUCUAGUAUAAGUAGCACAGUGAUGAGAAUGAAGAGAUUCCUUAAUUUGGAUUGCCUAGAAGAGAAGGGAUUUAGAAGGAUACAUGAAAACUAAAAUUUCAGGAAAUAAAUUUUUAAUUCCUCAUUAAAUAACAGUUGGAUGCCAGAAUGAUAUUUAAAAGAUAUUCAUGGAGUUUAACCCUGAAAUUGGAUUGAGUGUAUGGGUCUAUGUCUAUGUCUAUGUCUAUGUCUGUUUAAAUUUCAUUAUUAAUAUGCUGCUAACAUUUAUCCUUUUAUGUUUUUUAUGUAGAUUUUAAAUCUUGUUCAAGUAGUGGAAAAAAGGGAAUGACUGCUUAUAUCAUUGGUGGAGUGGUAGGAUUAUGCAUUAUUCUAUUAAUAUUGGGUUUCCUUCAGUGGAAAGGUUGUUUGAGAGGCAGAAAGAGGGAAGAAAAAGGUAUGAGCUAUACUGAUUUCAAGUACUGCUUAGUUUUGAUUCAUUGCAUCUUCCUGCAAGUAUCUGCUAUUGGCAUGAGCACUUUAUAUUUAAGUUGGCUUCAAAUAUUCAACUUUUACCUUACAAUGAACCAUGCAUUUGGCCUCCUUUGUCAGAGACUUUCUUCCCCCUUGAGUAUGCUAUGUUCUCUCCUUUAUAUUUCUUUCCCCUACCUGGGUUUGACACUUGGUUGCUUUUUAACCUUUCUGCACAUCCUUACAAGAUUGCUUGUCCUUCUUGUACUUAUCCUUUUAAGAAAAAUGAAGAUGGUUGCUUCUUUUCAAUAAAAAAAAAAAAUGAAAGAAAAAUGUGAUCUAUUCAUUCACUAGAUCUUUGAAUCACAUUAGGUGGGCCCAAUUAGAAGCCAUAUUUUGGGAUACAACAAAAUCUGACUUCUUUAGUUGUCUUGAAAGGUUAGUUCUUUCAUCCAUUCAGAAAUAUGAUAUUUUUUUUCCUUUUUAAUUUUGUGAAGAAAAAUUGUUACAGAAGUGGAUUCUGUAUUUUUCCUUAGAACGCAGUGUCUAAUCAAUUAUCACUUAAAAUGAAUCUUUGUUGAUUUUCUAAUAAUUUAAGGGUUGUACAAGUGAAAGCAAUAUUGUAUCACCAUACUCAUUUAAUUGGUUACACUUCAGUGAUGAGGUUUUUAGUCAUGGUGUUCUAUAAUAAAUCUAGAACACCUUAAAUUUAUUAACUCAUGCAUGCCCUCUGUGUAUGGAAUUAACAAGUAUGGGUUUUCAAUCUUAAUCUGUAGAACUUGACCAAUUUGGCAAUUACAUUUUUUUGGAGGGGGAGAGGGGGGGGGGGGGGGGGGGCGUGGGGGCCGGGGGCAGGAUUGGAGGAGUGGGAUUGAGAACUACCGAGUAAACUCUUUGUUUUCUAACCAUCUCUGUUUCUGUUUUUCCUCCUUGGAUAGAUCCCGAAGGUCUAGAUUUGCAAACAAGUUCCUUUACCUUGAAGCAAAUAAAAAAUGCCACCAACAACUUUGAUUCUGCAAACAAGAUUGGAGAAGGUGGUUUUGGUCCGGUUUUUAAGGUAUUCUAGCUAAUCCAUGAUCUUUCCACCUUCCUUAGUUGAUUCUACCUAUGAAGUCUGAAUGAAAAUUGGUGCAGGGUCUGUUAUCUGAUGGUACCACAGUUGCAGUGAAACAGCUUUCAUCUGGAUCAAGGCAAGGUAAUCGUGAAUUUUUGAAUGAGAUAGGCAUGAUUUCUUGUUUGCAACACCCAAAUCUGGUGGAACUUCAUGGGUGUUGUGUUGAAGGAGAUCAAUUGUUGCUGGUAUAUGAGUACAUGGAAAACAAUAGCCUAGCCCGUGCUUUGUUUGGUAAGUAUCAUUUUCUUAAUUGGAUUACAACUUCUAUUAAGACAAAAGAUUGUACAGAUGAUAUCUAAUUUUAAGUUUGUAAGGGAUUGUUUCACAGGUCCAGAAAAUAGUCAGCUGAUACUGGAUUGGCCAACUAGGCUUAAAAUCUGUAUUGGGAUUGCUAAAGGAUUGGCUUUUCUCCAUGAAGAAUCGAGACUCAAGAUUGUACAUAGAGAUAUUAAAGCUACUAAUGUGCUUCUUGAUAGAGACCUAAACCCUAAAAUAUCCGACUUUGGAUUGGCUAGGCUCGAUGAUGGAGGGAAGAGCCACAUUAGCACCAGGAUUGCUGGAACGAUGUGAGUUAGCCUGUCCUUAUUAAAUUGACCAACUAUUUGAGAAUUAAUAAGCGGUCAAAUGCUUGUACUGCUGAGGAAAUUACUGUUGAAUAUGGAAUGAUUAGAUGUCACAAUGUUCACUUGCAGAGGAUAUAUGGCACCAGAGUAUGCACUAAGGGGUUAUCUGACGUACAAGGCUGAUGUUUACAGUUUUGGUAUUGUGGUUCUGGAAAUUGUCAGUGGAAAAAACAACGAUUAUAUGCCAAGUAACAGUUGCUUUUGUCUUUUAGAUUGGGUAUUCCCUUCCUUUCUAUCCCUGUUCAGUUUAUUGUAUCUGUUGUUCAUGUUCCAUUCUGGUGUUUUUCAUUGCUAAGGUUGAAAUGCACAUCUGCCAUGAUGGAAGUUAAGAAAUCUUUCAAAUCAUCUAUUGAAUUAUCUUGUAAGAAGGAGAGAUAUUUUCAUUUCAGGCCUGUCAUUUGCAACAAAGUGGAAAGCUUCUGGAGCUUGUUGAUGAGGCGUUGGGGUCUGAAGUCCGUGAAGAAGAAGCAGAAAUGAUGGUGAAAAUGGCUAUCUUGUGCACAAAUGCAUCCCCAUCACUUAGGCCUACUAUGUCUGAAGUGGUGAGCAUGCUUGAAGGAAGGAAGCCUACUCCUGAUAUAAUCCUGGAACCAAAUUCCCACAAUGAGGAUGUGAGGUUUAAAGCCAUAAGAGACUUUCGUCAGGAGAAGCGAAACCAGAGUUUGACUGGAAUCCAAACCCAGAAUUCAACAGCUCCUACAGAGCUUUACUAUUCCUCUGCAUCUGGCGUUGAUUUCUGUGAAAUCAACCCUGCUUCAAAAUCCUGUUAAAACUGCAGGAUUUACUGAUUUGCCUAACCAUCUCAAUGAGCGCACUGAAGUUUUGGCUUCUUAUUCAACCCCACAUCUUGUACAUUUUUUUUAUAGUGAUUUCUCUUUGAAGGCGAGGAUUUGUUGUAUAAAUUUGUAGGAUUUUUAUGGCAGAAUUAAAAUUUUAUAUUUCUCAAUGUUAAUACAAAACUUUAUUAUUUCAUUGUUGUAAUAGGAAUCAUUUCCUGGCAAAAGAAUAAUGUGAUGAAGAAGCUAAUUUGGGUCUGUAUGACAUCUAAUCUGAUUGUUAUUCUCGGAAAUUGCUCACUUUUCCCAGGCAGACAAUUCUGAAUAUCAUACUGCAACCUUGAAAUUUAGACAAAGCCGAGUAGAGUGGGAGCUCCUUACAUCAUGUAGACCCGAGACAAUGAGGCGAAUGGGAAAUAAAAGUACAAAUUAGAUUAUUGAGCCUCUGUGAUCAGGCUAGUUAAAAACAAACAAAACUAUUUUAAGAAAUUUUUAAUGCUGUUUGAUGUUGUUUUUAGAAAACAAAUUUUAAAAACAAGAAAUAGAAAAACACUUUUUUAAAAUAAGUAGAAAUUAUUUUUAUUAAUUUUAUUUUAAAAAAAAAUAUAAGUUCGUUUAAUUAUAUUUUAUAAAGCUUAUUUUUAAAAACAAAUUUCAGAAAACACUAUCAUAAUUUGGACGAUUAGCAUUAAGAUUGUUUCUUAUCGGUCACUGUUUUUCCACUAUGACUUAUGAGGAAAAUGACCCCAAUUAUUAUCGUGAAGAUAGCGAUAGACCCUCCAUUCACUAAGCCAUGUGACCGAACAGGAUGGCAGUCGAUUUGACUAUCUGCUGGAAGUAGCAAAGAUGAAUCGAAUUUCCCAUGCGAUGAUUGUAAUACGAGAUCGCAAAUAGAAAGAGACCUUGUUUUUUUAUUAAUAAACUUUCAACGCGACCUUUAAAGGCAAGAGUUAGAAAAUUCUAGUAGCGUAUCUACCAGAAACAAGUGGUCAAAAACAGGGGACGAAAAUAUCGAUCGUGGGCCCCACAAAAGCUGUAUUUGUCAGAAACGCAUGGGUACAUCAAUCAGUAUGGGGUAUAGCCAGUCAGCCAUAUAGCAGUACCCACUGCCUAUUGAAUGAGUUCAUAAUCAAACCUUUGCAAACUGAGAUCAAGCAAAUUCAAGGAGAGAGAUGGCCACAGUUGUUCAUAUUCCCCUGCUCAUCUUGCUUCUACAUACAUGCUUUGGCUCAACAAGUGUUGAAGCACUAGCUGGACAUCUUCCUGAUGAAGAAAGUAAGAGUCCCUCCAUUUUAUUUGCACCCAAAUUGGAAUUCAGUAGUUGUAAAUGGCAGCAUGCUAUUUCUUGAUCUCAGUUGAGUCAUUUCUGACAUGGGCUUACUUCUAUUAAGAAAUUCAAUUAUGCAAAUGACAUGCAUGAUAGCCUUGUUUGCAUAAAUGAAGUUUUUGAGGCUUGGGCGGGCUGCAACUUUUUCCUUAUGGAUUUUUGAAAGAUAGCCUAUAUGUGAAGUUAUGUUCAAUUUGCAUCCAUCUAGCUUGAUCCAUAACGAGUUUUGAUGUUUGCAGAGGGAGUUCUGGAAGAAAUAGCUGAACAAUUGGGCAAGAAGGAUUGGAAAUUUGAACUAAACCCUUGUGAUGGGAACUCCAACUGGAACACACUAGGCUCGAGAUCAAAUCCAUUCUAUAACAAUACAAUCACCUGCAAUUGCUCCUUCCCUAAUGGUGAAUGCCAUGUUGAUAGCAUGUAUGUUUCCUUUCCUUAUUUCUAUUAAAAGGUAUCCUUUUCUUCACUUGUUCAAACUUAUAUAUGAAGCUGAACAGUCAAACUGCAUUGGAAUAUUCAUCCAGAAAUAUCCCUAAAACCUUAUACAAAAGGAACACCUAUUUACAUGAGGAAAUAUUAAAAUACGAACUCUCCUCUAUAAUGUCCUCUGUCACAAGGAAUUAUAGAGAAAUUAAGACUGAACACAAACAAAAAAUUGAGAUACUUUCUAACAAGGCCUCUGCCUCAGCAUCUUGCAUAGAACUUUGCGUAGGGCUCAACACUGCCUAGGCUAAUUCUCUUGCCUCAUGCCUAAGUCCCUUUCCAAUUCCUAUUCACCUGUUGCUUUGAAAAAAGUGGAACUUCACUCACCCCUACAACUUCGAAUAUAUCAGCAAUAAUGAACAAACUUCGAAGGGUUAUAGGUGAUAAAAUGGGUCAUGUGGCUGCAGCCGCAACACCACCACAACCUAUGUGGGAGCACCAUAAAUCACCAACACACUAUGGACAUCCACUGCCAUACCCACUUGGAAUGUCCCACAACUAAUGAACUUAAUGAAUGACAACUGGUAGGAUAAGUGUUCUAGAAGUUAAGGGGGGCUCAAGACAUGGCUCCCUUAUAAGUUUUGCAAUUACUCAAGUAGGUAAUUUGCUCAAGGUCCAUAAAGAAGCCUCUUCUUCCAGAGAAAAGAACAGGACAGAGCAAGAACAUGCAUAAAUGCUGAUUGGCAUAUUUAAUUCUAGAUCAUCUCUUGAUCUCUUGAUCCUAGAAAGCAAAUGGAAACAAGAAGCAUCUCAGGAUUGUGAUGCCUAACCUAAAUGAAAUGGUAUGGUAAAGUUGACAAGUGAUGCAUAUUCUUUAUGGUCAAUUAGGACUAUGUUUCUAAGUAUGACGAUCACCUUUUUUGGGAGAAUUUAGUUGUGCAUGUGUGGGGGUGGGGUUUGGAGGUUUUGAUAUGUAUAAGAAUGUAUCCAUAAAAGAUAGAAAUUAACUAUGACUAAUUUCUAUUUUACCUCUCUAGGUUUUGAACAAUAAGUCUCUAAAGUAAUUGCUUGGCAAGCCACUGAUACAUGGAGGCACAGUUGCAAGUAUGCUUAUCACAUUUGAGAUCAAAAUUUUCAAAAAAUGUAUAAAAUGGAUAUAGCAAUCAUACCUUUAUAUCCCACCAAAAUAUAGGGGAACCUAGUGAAACUAUUUAAGGAGUUCAUAUCUCUAGAUUGGACUUUCACUUGUUUUUGGGUAGAAAACUAGUAUAACACCUGAAUUGGCCUUAGGUUAACCAAUAAAUCACACCUCACUUUGAAGUAGACAGCAUCAGUUGAAUUCAUUUCUUGCAGUGUAGGCAGUUCUGGAAUCUCCUAAUGAGUAAUGACUGCAUAGAGAAAAUGAGAUAAGUAGAAGAAGAUAUUUUUGAUUGGUAUUUUCCAGUCCUACACUAGGUGCUACUCCUCUCUUUGUCCUGCAAUUUGAAAUAUUUUUUAGUGGAGCACUUGAAGUUGUGUUUGGUGUGACAAAGGUCAUUCGUAACCAAGGCAAAACUUCGUUCCCCUUUCAUUUCACCAGAGAGCCAGAUGAUCUUAUUCAAAUUGUUCCCAAGCUGAGAGUACAUAAAUGGUUUGUCAUGGGGAGGGAUGGGCUGCAUGUAUUCCAUUUGAACUUUGUGCAUGAUACACCAUUAUUUUAGCUUAAAAUUUGGAUUGUAUUAUAGCAAUAGCAGUUGGCCACUUACCUACACCAUCACUUAGAUGGUAAUCCUACGUCUGUGGAGUUAUGGAACCCUGUGGUGUAAAAAGUUAUUACUGCAUGGGAAAAGAGUAUGCUUUUUCAGGCAGAAAUCCCUAGUCUAAUCAACCCCUGCAACAUUCCCAAUUUUUCCCUUUUCAUGUUUAAAUUCCUACCAAGAUUGAGCAGAGCUUCAAGAAAAAUCGGUAGAGUCUACCGCCUUCUGGGUUGGGGAAAAAAGGAAGAAAUAUACUCUCCCUCGGUGGGAGAAAGUGUGCCAUGUUAAGAUGCUGGAGACUCAGGGAUUGCUACUGUUGUAUCUUCACAUUUUCUCAUUCUUUGCAUAAAUGACCAUUGAAAUUUGUCACUUAACUUAUUCCAUCAAUUCUCCUCUCUAUAAAAUAUGCAGCUGGUUGAGACUCUGUUUUUAAAUUUUGGAGGAUCUCCACUGCUGGCACUGCAUUAAAAUAAAAUCACCCUCGUCUACAUUAAAUUAUUUGAAGAUAUAGCUCUCCCUAUCCCACCCCAUAUCCAGGCAACAACUUCAGUAGUUAGGUAGUAUUACCAGUACAUCACUUCCUUUGAGAUUUUGGCAUCCACAUUGGUUCCCACAUGUUCUCCCAAAUUUGCAGAGUUGACAGAGGAAAAAUUAGAAAAGUACCACACCCCCCAAGUUAUUGUACUUUUUCCAUUGAUCUUUUUAAAUUACCGACUGCUCAUAUGGAGGUUUUGGUCUUGUCUCUGAGUUUUGACUGUAUGCAUUAGUUGAUGAACCCAAAGGAUAUAUGUUCUUUUUCCAAGAUGAAGUUUUGUGGUCUUGGAGGCUCAAAGGUUGUAUCUUCUGGGACAGUGCAAGAUUGGCUUCAUUUUGGUUUUAAAAGGGAGAAGCAUCAGCUUUCAAGACAAGUGUGGAAGCCAAAGUUAUUGGAUAGAGUUGAAACUAUAACUUCCUUUAAAAGGUUUCAGUGACGGAAGAGUAAUCUUUUUAGCACAUCAAAUACCAAUGUUUUACAUGGGGGUGCUUGAAUGGUUUUCAAGGUCUGCACAGUAAUCUUACUCUUAAGUGUGGCUCUAAUCAUGUUAGUUAGGUGUUUCCAAGGUACAUGAUUUUGGUUAAUUUACUGCAAGUCUGUAAGCAUUCGGAAUUUUGAUUUUUUUUACUGUGUAUUUAUUUGAAUAGAGAUGACUCUCUUAUAUGCUUUCUAUAACGUGGCUUUAAGCAUGAAUAACUGGUUAUUAAAAGCUCCUCUCCUUUCUCAUGUCUGUAUUCAAACAGAUCUCUCAAAGGGCAGGAUCUUGCUGGUGUGCUUCCACCUGCCCUAGCGAAACUAUCCUACCUCAAAAAAAUGUAAAAAGUGCUUUCUCACACGUAUAUUUUUCAAACCUGAAAUUUGUAUUCCCAGCUUUCAUUGGUCUAACAAUCUUUUUCUCUUGUUUGAAGUGAUUUGGCUAGGAACUAUCUCAGUGGUAACAUACCCCCUGAAUGGGAAACUACAAAGUUAGAAACUCUGUAAGAUACUCACACUUCAUGCUCAAUCUAGCAGAUAAAUAUUCUUUCAAGGAUUGAUAAAGCUGACUCCAUGCAGGUCCAUUUCUAUGAACCGAUUAUCAGGACGAAUCCCAAACUUCUUGGGGAAUAUUACCACCCUUAAAAAUUUGUAUGUUCUGACCCACCAAAUACUUGCUUCCCACUCUCUCACACCCCCUUAAAUAUUUAUAGCCUUUUUGGUUUGCUCCUGCUUUAAUCUUGACUAAUCGAAUUUUCAGGGGUCUUGAGGGCAACCUGUUUUCUGGAACUGUUCCCCCUGAGCUUGGCAAACUGGUCGACUUGCAGAAGCUGUUAGUCUUUCAUUUUCUAUUUUUUUUUCCAUUGUUUCAAUUUUAGAACAUUUGUUUAUUGAAUUUGAUGGUUUUAAUAAUCUCUAAAAAUUAUAUUAAUCUUACAUUGACUCGAUCUUCUUUUUGGUGACUGUAGCAUUCUUAAUUCUAACAAUCUCACUGGACCAUUGCCUCAAGCGCUUGCUCACCUAACUAAUUUGAAAGAGCUGUAUGUUCUCGUAAAUCUUUGUGCUUGUGUAUUUUUAAGGCUUUUAUGCAUAUGUGAUGUUAAAAUAAUUAAUUCUAGUGAUGUUCAUACCUAUUUUGGGCCAAAUGCAGUAGGAUUAGCAGCAACAAUUUCACUGGAAAAAUACCCAGUUUCAUUCAAAGUUGGAAGCAACUUCAGCAAUUGUAAGUUUCUUUUUGGUUUAAGUAUUUUACAGUCUCUUCAUUUUAAAAGUUUUCGGGUGCACUACAUGUUCAUUUGAUUUACCUGAUUAACAGAGAGAUCCAAGCUAGUGGUUUGGAAGGGCCCAUACCUUCUAAUAUUUCAGUCUUGAGUAAUUUAACUGAACUGUGAGUUAAGCCUUCUUAGUUCAUAUCUCUUAAUUUGCUUAAUUUCAAUAAUAAUUAACUUCUCAAACUAAUAAAAUAUUACUGACAAGAGUAGCAUUUUGCCAUUUUUUUCUUGAUGGGAUUCUAUGCAGAAGAAUUAGUGACUUAAAUGGAGAGGGUUCCACUUUUCCACCCCUAAGAAGCAUGAAAAGAAUGUACAAGUUGUAAGUGGUAUUUAUGAUUAAAAAAAUGCUCUAAAGCAAAGUAAUUCACACUCUUUAGCACUAGUACUUACAUGGACUUAGUUUAUGUUGCAGGAUGUUGAGGGGCUGUAAUAUCUCAGGACCGAUCCCCCCAGAUAUAGCAGAGAUGACAGAAUUGAGAUUUUUGUAACUCUACCAUGCAUUUCUUUUCCUCUUUCUUUUUCUUUUAUGGCAAAUUUGUUGUCCCUAAAUAGUUGGAGUAGUGGAUUAUGUCAAGUAUCAUUAGCUUUUUACAGUAAGAACCUGUAUUGUGGGCUACCAUGUAGGGGCUUCCUCUUCUUGUUCCUUCCCUUUACCCUUGACCUUUAACCAUUAAGGCAAAUUGUGCCUUUUUUUUUUUCUUUUUCUACAUUUUUAUUUUUCCAUAUGAAGGUAGAAAAAGUAGGAAAGACAAAUAUUUUACAAUAUGGGCCAAAGCUAUAUUGGGAGACUGUAUGUUGAUGGAAAUUACCAGCUCCUUUGGGUCUAAACUAUAUUUUUAUCUUUUGACUCCUUAGUUGGAAGCUCUUUUUUCUCUUUCCCUUUUGUGAAGGGAUCCUUUCCUCUUGUAAUUCAUCUCCCCCACUUAUUGAAUUUGUUGGGUGGCUUUUCUGUGCCAAAAUACUUUUGUGAGAUUAAAAAUUGGCCCUCAAAUGAUAAUAUACACACCCUGACUUUAUUAUUAAGAAAGGGGAUAAAUGGCUGGUCUAGGGGUCGGUAAUUCUAUGUCUAUCAAUGAGUUAUGCCUUUUUUCUUUACCCCUGUAUCUUCAGACUAAUGACCUUUUAUCUCUUGAGAUUUAUAUUGCACCAAAUUCAAUUAAGCCAUCAUUUGGAUGAACUUCUAUUUUAGUGCUUUAUUAUGACAUUUGUACUGUUGUUUUCUCACAGAGAUCUCAGCUUCAACAAGUUGAACGGAGAGAUUCCAAAUCUUGAUGGCCUAACAAACGUGGAGGUCAUGUAAGAAACAGAAACUUAGGACAUGUUGUGUAAUUGUAAUGCAUAGAAGUCUUCCCUAUCUAUAUUGUGUCUAUCAUAAAAAUUGAUAGAGGGGUUAAAACUAUACACUAUUAGUUCACUCUUAUAAUUGUUCCGGGGUCAUACAUUUGCCUGGUUAUGAGUAGUAGGUAUACUCGCUUGCCCCCAGCUAUAUGGGUCAUGGAGGAGGCCACAAGCCUGGUGCAUUAGGAGACUGCAUCACUUGGGGCAAGGGCUUUAAUACUUGUGUGGAUUACCCUCGUGAAAAUUUCAAUUUCAAUUUCAAUUUUUUCUCCAUCUUCUCCUGUAGAACAUUUUGAGAUAAUAAAAAAAGUUGCAUUAGUGGCCUAGUGGUAAAAUAGUACCCUGCCAUGGUUCAUAACUAGGUUAAAUUCCCUGUCAGUGCAUUAUUAUUUAAUAGUUCUUUCUACAUCUACAUUCAUUUUCUUUAGUAGGUCUUUCUACAUCUACAUUCAUUAUUAUUUUGUGCUCCUCGUGUUCCGUUACAUUGGAAAGCUCUAACAAUAAACCAUUUUUGCGUGCCGAUUAGGUGUCUGAUAGGCAACCAGCUUAAUGGAAAUAUUCCAGAUGGAAUCAAGGGAAGGCAGAGCCGCACGUAUGUUUUUCAUCCAGCAUCUUGAGUUAAUUUUGCUUGAGAUUUGAUGUCCAUCUUCUGUUAUCUAUUACCUUUCUUUUUAUCUACCCAACCAUACAUAGGUAAGGUUGUACACAAACAUACACAUGAACUCCCCCCUAUGAACGCAUUCUUCUUUGACCUCUUUGGAGCUUGAUUGCUGAUUCUAUUCUUGCUAUUUGCAUCCCUCUAUUUGCAAUGGAAGAAAGAAAUGUUCUCGUUAGAAAAGCUCCUAACUACUUGUUAGCUAUUAGUUGCAAAUUAGAUUAAAUUCCGCAUACAAUCUUCUUUAGCACUUAUAACUUACACAAUUCUUUCAAAGUGUUUUUGUAUAUUAGCUUUCAUGGAGUUAUAUUGUGUUUAAAGAGUCAUUUGUGUUUUUGCAGUGAAAUAGAUCUUUCUUAUAAUAACUUCUCUGAGCAAUCUGCACCACCCUCUUGUCGAGAUAGCUUGUAAGAACUAUUUCUUAGUAAACUAAACCUUGUCAAGCUUUAUGCACAGUUUUUCUUUCAUUCACUGUCUAUACUAAAUUAUCUUCUUUUUUGUUUCAUUAGGAACUUGUUCAGAAGCUUUUCUGAGGAGGGGAACUUGUAAGCUUAUUACUUAUAAUUUGAGUGUGAAGGGAAGCAAUUUGUAUAUUUUUUUUCUUGCACAACAUUGAUUCUUUUGCUUUUCUUUUCUUUUCUUUCUUUUUUGGACCAAUGCUACAUUAAUUCAGAGAACUUGGUGGGUGCUUGAAAAACUAUCCUUGUCAAAAAGGUGAGUACAUAAAAUGUGAGGUGAAUUUCUCAGUUAUUUUAUUCGAGAUGAUUGGGACUUAUCUUUGGUAUUGAAAUGAAAUUAUAUCAUCUCAUCAAGGACAUAAAAUUUAGUUUUAUUUAUUUAUAUAUUUAUUUAUGUUUAAUAUAACUGAUCACUAUCUAUAACUUUUCUGUUUUCUUAAGAUCGUUAUUCAUUGCAUAUAAAUUGUGGUGGAGAGAAAUCUACGGUUGGAAAUGUUGUUUAUGAAGGGGAUCAAUAUGAAGGAGGUUCAGCAAAAUUUCAUCCUAUGACUGAUUAUUGGGGAUUUAGUAGCACUGGACACUUCUGGGAUCAUAACAGAACCAUAAAUGAUUACAUAGCACAAAAUGUAUCCGUACUUGGAAUGAACCACUCUGAGUUGUACACCAGAGCACGACUUUCUCCUCUGUCUUUUACUUACUAUGGGCGCUGCUUAGCGGAUGGGAACUAUACAGUAAAAAUUCACUUUGCAGAGAUAAUUAUCAGAGGCAAUAAAUCCUUUCAUAGCCUUGGCAGACGGAUUUUUAAUGUUUAUAUUCAGGUACUCAUAAUAGAAAAAAUUAGAUUGGUGCUUGGUUUGUUAUAGAAGGUUAGUUGAUUUAAUUAGUUAAUUGCAGGGAAAGUUGGAAUUGGAGGAUUUUAAUAUUGUACAAGCAGCACAAGGGGUUGAUAAGGUAGUUGUAAAAGAAUUUAAAGCAGUUGUGAAGAAUAAAACUUUAGAGAUCCGCUUUCAUUGGGCUGGCAAGGGAACAACAGCUAUACCAAGCAGAGGAACUUAUGGUCCUCUCAUAUCAGCUAUUUCUGUGGAAUCUGGUGAGUUUAGGCCUUAUUCAUUCCUAGUGAAAUUUCUUUGUCUUUCUCUUUCAUAGUGAAGUUGGAUGUGCCUUUUUGUUGCCCAACUUGUUCUGCUAUGACAAAUAACUAUAAAGUUAUUCUAUUAAAUUAUGAGAUAAAUAGUUUUGUAACCUCAGACAGUUAUUUAACAACUUCAUGAAAACCAGCUCAAUUCCUCUAUUUUAUUUUAUUUUUCUAACCAAUUUUCUCUCUGAUAUUUGCAAUUCUAAAGAAAAUCUUAUUAUAGAAAACAUCAAUCGAGUGGAAUUAUGUGUUAAUCAUAGCAUUCAAGCUAACACUGUUGUUGUUGUUGUUUUUGAUAGAUUUCAAGCCUCCUUCUAAUGGCAAAAAGAAGAUACUCAUUGCAGUUCUAGUUUCAGUAUUGGUUUUCAUUUUCACAAUUUUGGGCCUUAUUUGCUGGAAAUGCUACUUUGGACAGAGAACAUCAAGAGAACAAGGUAAUGUAAAUCUAUGACACAAGCUUUGGUGUGACUGUGUGAGAAGGAUAAUAAAUAAGUAUGUUUCCCAACUAUUGCAGGAAAUAGGAAGAAUUUGUGGCAACUUGAAUAUAAUUAUAAGUAGCCAAUAGACUCACACUGGCCAUGACCUAAAUAAAAAAUAAUAUGUUAAGCAGAAAUAAAGUUGGCUCUUAAGAGAAUGAUUAUUAGAGAGCUAUUAAGAUGUUGCAGAUAUCUCAGAAAGAAAUUGACCAUAUAAGCAGAAAAUUCAGUAGAAAGACUAAAGAAAGACUAAUUAUUUCAAAUGAAUCCAAACAUCAUGAUGAAAUUGAGCUACAAGUGUUUUAUUUUAAGUGAUAAGAAGAAAAUGGACACAUUACAAGAAACAUUUUUUGGGGCUUAUCACUUCACUUAAUUGUUAAUGCCUUGGUUUUCCCUUGGCAAACAGCCCUUGUGAUGCUAGUUAACCUUCAAUGAGAAAUGUGGAGCUGUCCACAAAGAGCACACAGCACACUCUAAAAAGAAUGAAAGUGUUACUGCAUAAAGAAAGCCUUACCAUGCUUGGAACCUCUGAAUGCAAGUUCUUGGAGGUGCUUUUUCUAAAUGGGGCCCUUUACCUAUGUAUAGGCAUCUUGAAGCACUUUAGAAUACUUUACCAUGCUUGGAACCUUCCCCAGAAUGUUUUAUGCUGUUUACCAUUCCUUGUUCUAGAGUUCUAUAGUUUCCCACCUUUUAUGUACAAUUCUAUGGUUUUUUAGAAUGUCCCCUGUAUAUGAAUGAUUAAAUAUAAAUAAAAAAUAAAUGGAGUAUCUCCAAGAGUCUCACCGUUCUGCAUAUACUGGAUGUUUGAUAAUAUUUGGUCCAUCUAUAUAUACAUCUCUCAGGGGAAUCAAGAUGGGCAUGAUGUUAUGCUCGGUUAGAUUCCAAGGGAAACCAUAUAAGCGGCUUAGGUUGGAGUGGGCCUUGAGAAGUUCCAUGGGUUCUCUAUUUUAUUACAUAUAACUUCUUGGCAAUAAAAUGGAGCACUAGUGUUUUCCAGUUGCAUUUACUUUGAUCUUAUUAUUUCGAAUGUAUUCUAACUAAUUAAGUAGCACUAAGAUAUAAUUCAACAAUCUAACCUUUUUCCUUGGACAGAGUUGAGAGGAUUAGAUCUGCAAACUGGUUUAUUUACCUUGAGACAAAUUAAAGCUGCUACAAACAGCUUUGAUGCUGCAAAUAAGAUUGGGGAAGGAGGUUUUGGAUCUGUCUACAAGGUACUCCACAGAAUUAGUUCUUAAAUUUUUAAUUUUUAAUUUUUACUUCUUAAAUUUUUUAUCCAUGAGAUUUGGAGCUAGACCAAUACUUUAAGGUAUACUCAACAUUUCUAUAUAGGGUACAUUAUUAGAUGGAACCAUAAUUGCAGUGAAGCAACUUUCCACCAAGUCAAAGCAAGGAAGUCGUGAAUUUGUGAAUGAAAUUGGAAUGAUUUCUGCUUUACAACACCCAAAUCUUGUAAGAUUAUAUGGAUGUUGUGUUGAAGGAAAUCAACUGAUAUUGGUAUAUGAAUACAUGGAGAACAAUAGUCUCGCUCGGGCUUUAUUUGGUAAGGUUAAUACUUUUAUAUUUCAUUGUGUUUGUUAUGCCAUUUAAAAAGAUUGGUCAUCAAAUAUUGACAUUCAGUCCUUAACAAGUUUGAUGAACUCUAUUGUUUGGGCAACUUCUGUUAAUUAUAGGUAAAGUGGAAUACCGAUUAAAUUUGGACUGGUCCACGAGGCAGAGGAUUUGUGUUGGCAUAGCAAGAGGUUUGGCUUUCCUGCAUGAAGGAUCAACACUGAAAAUUGUUCAUAGAGACAUAAAAGCAAAUAAUAUACUACUUGAUACGAAUCUUAACCCUAAGAUCUCUGAUUUUGGUCUGGCGAAACUUGAUGAAGAAGAUAACACCCAUAUUAGCACCAGAGUUGCUGGAACCAUGUAAAUUUCUCCUCCCUUCCUUUUCAAUUCAUGACAAUUUUAACAUAGUUGCAAUCUUUCAAUAAUAUUACUAUUAAACUAAAGUAGAAAGAAGGGGUUACACAUUUCUCUUAUCAAUUUUCAUUUCUUUAAAUCACUGUCAUGAGAUAUAGAAAAUAGUUUAUCAAAAUUUCUCCAUUUCUGCCCUGAUUUAUACUUGAACAGUCAGUGGUUAACAUCUCAGCAUGUAAACUAAUUUUAAUAUGGAUAUUGAUAUGGAAAAAAUUCUUGUGGUAUCAGUAUUUUGGUAUAAAUCUAUGUAUUUCAGAAACUACAUCAGCAUUGAAUCCCUACUUGCAUAGAGGUUGUUGUUUGAUGAUAAAACAAUAUUCAGGCUUAUUUGAGAACUAGUUAAUUAAAAGGAUUACUGCCAUCAGUUAUCAUCUGUGGUGGUUAUUUAUACUCUGUUAGUCAAAUUCAAGAAGUUGCUACAAGUGAUGGUACAUUUUGGUAGAGAGUUUAUUUAACAAAUAGGUCAGUCUGGACACUGCAUGUGCUCUUGAAGUUCAGAUGUUGUUAGCUAGUUUGCAUCAGUAAGAUUGCUUACAUUUUAACAAUCAUUUUCAGCAAAUGGAGUUAUUGCCUGAUUCUGGAACCCUUUUUAAUUGCAUUGAUGUGUACAAAUUACCAAUGCAAGAAAUAUAAUUUGCACUUGUUUACCUAAAAUACAAGUGAUGUUUUGGGGUUAUUGUGCAGAGGAUACAUGGCACCAGAGUAUGCAUUAUGGGGUUAUUUAACCUAUAAAGCCGACGUAUACAGUUUUGGGGUUGUUGCUUUGGAACUUGUUGCAGGGAAGAACAACAUGAAAUAUAGACCAAAUGAGGAUUACUUUUGUCUUCUAGAUUGGGUAAGUCAGUUUUUUUUUCUUGUUCUUUGCAUGUGUUAAAUCAAGAUAAUAGUUUGAAACCAGUUCACUUUUUCUGAAAUUUGUCUGUUUAACUUGGUCAAGCUGCUUUCAUUGUGGAGAGGGAGGGAGAGAAGGAGAGAGAGGGUGAGCAAGAGUGAGAGAUAUAGAUAGAUAGAUAGAGAGAGAGAGAGAGGGAGAUGGAGAGAAAGAGAGAGUAGAAGUAAUCAACCUAGUAGUAGUGUAACAAAUGUUAGGCGGAUAGACAUAACAUAAUGACAGCAUCAAGACCACUUCCAUUUUCCAUUUUGCUUCAUUUUCUCCCCUUUCGCAUUGGUCAUUUCCUUGUGUCUUGGCCGUUUCCUAGAUUGUGAACUAUUAUAAUCUCUCAUUGUCUGAAUGGAGGUUGAUAUGAUUUUAUUUGUUUUUCUAAACAUUUCCAACCUUCUCUUUUGCUUCCUUCAGGCUUUUGUUUUACAACAGAAAGGAAAUUUAAUGGAGCUAGUGGAUCCAAACUUGGGGACUGAGUUCAAAAAGGAAGAGGCCAUAAGGAUGAUUAAAGUUGCCCUAUUAUGCACCAAUGCAUCUCCCGCACUUAGACCUACCAUGUCUGCAGUGGUGAGCAUGCUCAAAGGUCAAACUGUCGUUCAGGAAUACCCUCUGAAUCCUAGUAUUUAUGGUGAUGAAUUUGGGUUUGAAGCCCUCAGAGGCCAGCAUGAUCAGACACAAUUACAGAGCUCAAGUGAAAUUGAGCCCCUCAAUCAUUCAUCACGUACAGCACGGAGUGGAUCUUCCUUUACAUCUUCCCAAGAUCCAUAAAAUGUCUCUACCUUGCCUUGUAUUAAUUCAGUCAUGGUGAGAAUUUUUCUUUGGUAGCUAGUAUUUUGUCAGUGCUCUACUUAUUGUUGGAAGUUGUUACUUCAUUUUGAGGCAAAAGUGAUCCAUUUUAAUUCCAAAUACAAAGAAAAAGUACUUUCAAAUUGCUUAUCAAACAGUAUAUCAUUCAGCCUUCUUGUUAUGCAUUCCAAACCAUAGAUGUCACAUGUUGGUUAACUCCAUUUGUAAAUAAGAAGUAUUAAUAAAGAUCUACAUUCAUUAUAUCUUUGUUAGAGACUAUUCCUAUUAUCAUUCAUCUAAUCUUACAUGUAAAAAAUAUAUAUAUAUGAAAAACAAGAAAUAUCAUAAACAGUUUUUUAGCUAAGAAUGUCACAUAGUAAUUAUUAUGCAAAUUCAUAAGUUAUUAUUUAAUAAGUACAUCUAAGACCCAUUUUUUCUCUGUGUUCUUCCUUAAAUCGUCAGUCACAUAAAAUUAUGAGGUCAAACAAAUAGGUAUUCUUUGUGAGACAAACAAACAAAAACUCAUAUAAGGGAGAUCAACUUUGAUACCAUUUGUAACAAUCUGCUUUUAAGUUUAUAGAUUUUAUGGAUAAAAAUUGGUUUAUAAUGAUUUUUUUUUUUCUGCACAUAAUUAUAUUUUUAUAAAUUUUCUCUUCAUAAAAAUGAACUUCAAAUUAAGUAACACUUUCUAUUGAAUUUAUUAAUGUAUUUAACAAUUUUAAAAAAUAAAUUGAAACAAAAAAAAAAGAUUUAACCAUUCAAAAAAAUCAAAAUAGAUAUAUUAUAAGCCAUAACUUUAUUGUUCUUUUAUACACAUAACUAUAUUUCUUGAAUUUAAGUAAAUAAAUUAUAACUUAAGUAAAACAUAUUUAAUAAUUUAAAUUCUUUAAUAAAUUUUUAAUUUUAAAAAAUAAUUUUAAAUUCAAAAAACCGAUCUAAUUAAUUGCAAAUUAAAUAAAAAUAUUUUAAAAUAUUAUGUUCGCAAUUCGGUACUAAAUAUGUACAUAAAAUAAAAAACUUAAUUCAUUAUUUAUUUUAAAUAAAAUAUUAUUAAAAAUUAUUUUAAAUUAUUAUUAUUCUUUUUGGGGAUGGGGCCCACAAGCACCUGCCUAUCCCUUCUUCUUUAGUAAAGUCAACCUCUUCUUCUAUUUAUUAUUAAAUUUAUUUAUAAUUACAAAAUCAUUUUGAUUUUUAAUAAGACUUAAAAUUUAAUUAAAUUUAUAUUAUAUAAAUUUAAUUUGCAAUGUUUUUACAUAAUAAAUAAAUAAAUAUAUAUAUAUAUAUAUAUAUAUAUAUAAACAACUUGUGCAAACAAUUUUUUCUUUUCUUUUUUUAAAUAAUUUCCAAACACCCUUAUUUUUAUAAAAUAUUAGAAAAAUAUUUUUUGUUCUUGAACUUAAAAACAAUUUUUAAAUACAAGUUUUAGAAAAUAUGGUCAAACGGGCUCUAAUGUUUACAAGUGCUCUUAUUUCUUUACGAUGGAGUCAUAUUAUUCCUAAUAAAAUUAUUCCUAAAUGCAUAUAGUUAUCGAUUUUAUUUUUUAAUAGUUUAUGUUUUGUUUCUAAAAAAACUAAAUCUAAAUAUACAAUAUUUCCUACUGAACUUAUAGUAUGUUAGUUUAAAAAUCUAGUUAUUUUAAAAUUUUGAACUAACUAUUUUUUGUAAAGAGUUACUUCUUUUACUAUCUUUUUCAAAUUUUCUUCUACAAAUUCUUUUACAUUUCUCUUCGAUUUAUUACUUCUAUUAUUUCCAUGGUUUCACUCUUAAGCUUUUUGGUUAAAAAAAAAUUUGCUUUUCAUUAUGAUCUAGUUAUUGGUUUUUCUCCUAAAUUAAAAUUUUCAAAUUGUUUUUAAAGGUUGUUUAUAUUUUGUUCUUCUAGAGUACUUGCCUUUUUAACUAUAUAUUUGAUCUAAAAAGUUUAUCUACUUUUUGAUUGACUUUGUCUAAUAUUUCUUUCAAGUUUUGUUGUUCUAGUUUUAUUUGUUCUAUUUCCUUUCUAACAAAUUUCUCUUCUUUAAUUAUCUUUGAUAUAAUCUAAGUUGUUUCUUAGCAAAUUAUGGUUUUUAAAUCUUCUAAUUUCUUUCCUAAGUCCUAACUAGAUGCUUUAUGUUGUCUUUGUUUUUUUCUCGAGUUUUCUAAACCAAUGGUUUGUUUAUGUGGAGGAACUAGCAUAUAAAUUAUUAAUAUAAAAUCUUACAAUUUCUUUUUUUAUCUAAGGUUUUUGUGAUAAAAAGUUCAUUGUAAGAUUCUUUUAUACCUAACUCAUAUUCACUCAAACAUUUAAGAGAGGUUAGUUUCUUAAUAUCUUUAGUUAAAUCCUAUACAUUUUGCCUUAAAGUAUGCAGUUUAUCACCAGCUUAUAUAAAUUCUUCACAUUGAGUGCAUAAUCUAUUAUUAAGUUCUUUCACAUGUUAAUAAUCUAGAAUGUAAAUACUAGGAGGAUAAGAAAUAAAAGACAUAAAUUAUAUUAGUUUGGACUAUUUUACACUCAAUUUCUAAGGGUAAUAUCUUUUAUCUUUACAAGUUCUUUUAUUUUUUCUACUAGUUUAAUAUCUUCUUGGUUAAAAUAUUUAUGGCCAGUAUUUUUUGUUUUGCUAUAAAAAGGGUCCAAUUAAUCCAUUAAGGUUUUUAAUAUAAGGUCUAACAUAGUUUAAUCCAUUUGAUAGGUAUUUGUUCCAACAACAUCACUAGGAACGAAACUUUUUGACAAGGAUUUUCGAGCCAAUGAUAUGAUUUGAUGGCAUCAAAUACCUACAUAAAUAAAACUAAUAGUUGUGCAUGUGUCAAUACCAUUAGGGAGUUUUGAAAACCCAUGUAUAACAUUUAGAUGUUUACACUAAAAGCAACUUUCUAAUUGUCAAGUAUGAAAGAGAAUAAAGACAAUAUAAAAAUAAUUAUACCAUAAUAAUAAGAAUAUGAAGAUAACAAUUUCAUUAGAUGACCCAACCUAAUUAUCUAUUAACUUUAUGGUAACUAUAUGGUCAAAGAGCUUUGAACACCUCCAUGAAAUUUACAAGUAAAGGCUAACAACCUGAUUUUCUAUAACAAAAUAAAAAUAGAAGAAAGAUAACUAAGAAAUAAAAUUCUCGAGGACUACCUAUUUAUGGAAGGUUUUUGUAUUGCAUCACACUACUACAAAAAUCCAAAAUCAUGCCCUAAGCAUGUUAGGGACACCAUGCUCCUUAAAGGUUAAAUAAUUAAAUGAUGGUAAUGAUAAUGAUGGUGAUGUUGGUGAUAAUGAGGAGGAUGAUGGCGAUGAUCAUGAUGAAGAUGAUGGAGAUGAUGAUGAUGACGAUGACAAUAAUGAGGACGAGGAUGAUGAGGAGGAAAAGAUAAUAGAAUACAAUAAAAAUAAAAUAGGAUAUAUAUACAAAACUUGCCCAUUUAAGGACUUUACACCUAUUAUGUUGCUUAAGAUUGUUAACUAGCUAUAGAAAACAAAGGUGAGGAUUGAUGAACACAUUCUUAUGAUUAAUUUAGAAAAUGAAAAAAGAAAAAAAAAUGAAGAAUAAUAAACAAAGAAAUAUUUAGAUAUGAAAAUUGAACAUGUUCAAUAAGGUAUUUGUUCCAACAACAUCAUUUGAGACUAAGGUGGUGUUUGUUUUUUGGCUAAAUAGAAAAAACAAAAAUAUUUGACUUUUUCUAUUCAGCUAAAAGUAACCUGUUAACAUCAUCCAAUAUAACUAAAGUGAACUUGUUAUCAAUAUGUUCAAUUUAGUUAUGUUAAAUGAUAUUAACAUGUUACUUUUAGCUGAAUAGAAAAAGCCAAAUAUUUUGGUUUUUUCUAUUCAGUAAAAAAAAAACACUACCUAAAACUAUUUGACAAGGAUUUUCGAGCCAAUAAUAUAUUUUGAUAGCAUCAAAUACAUGCAUAAAUAAAGUUAAUGGAUGUAAUAGAUGUAUUUGUGUCAGUACCAUUGAAGAAUUUUCAAAACCCAUGCUUACACUAAAAGUAAGCUUUCUAUGACAAUAAUAAUAAGACAAAGAAGAUAAUAUAAAAAUAAUUAUAACCAUAAUAAUAAGAAUAAGAAGAUAAUAGUUUAAUUAAAGGACAUAAUCUAUUUAUCCAUUAACCUUAUGAUGACUAUACCAUUGACGAGCUUUAAACACCUCCAUGAAAUUUACAAGUAAAGUUAAACAACUUGAUAUUUUAUGACAAUGUAAAAAAUAAAAGAAAAAUAAAUAAGAAAUUAAAUUCUUAAAUUUACAACAACAACAACAACAACAACAACAAUAAUAAUAAUAAUAAUAAGAACAAGAAGAAGAAGAACAAGAUGAACAACAACAAGAACAAGAACAACAAUAAUAACAAAAACAAUAACAAUAACAACAACAACAACAAUAAUAAUAACGAUAACAAGAAGAAGAAGAAGAAGAAAAAAAAAAGAACAACAACAAUAAUAAUAAUAACAACAAGAUCAAAAUAGGAAACUAACUAAAAUAACCUAAUUCUAGGAAUUCUGGCUGUUACAAACAAACUCUCCUAAACUAGCAUAAUUAUUAUACGCAGCAAAAUACAAGCCAUUAAUUUACAACCAUAAUUCACGUUUUCCCAUACUCUCCCUCAAGUUGGUGAAUACCUAUUCACCAUUCCCAGAUUGGAUACAAAGCUUUGAAACAGUGAACUACUUAGCCCUUUGGUAAGUAUAUCGGCAAGUUGACCAUGUGUAAACACAUAAGGUGUACAUAUCAAUCCACUAUCCAACUUCUCUUUGAUGAAGUGUCUGUCAAUUUCAAUGUGCUUCGUUCGAUCAUGCCGUAUCGGGUUGUGAGCUAUGCUGAUUGCAGAUUUAUUAUCACAAUAGAGUUUUAUUGGGCCAUCCCAUUUAAUCUUUAAGUCUUCUAAAGCGAUCUUCAACCAUAGUAGUUCACACACACCCUGAGCCAUUGCUCGGAAUUCUGUCUCCGCACUAGACCGCGCUACCACAUUCUGUUUCUUACUCUUCCAUGUCACUAGAUUUCCAUCAAGAAAGGUGCAAUAUCUAGAGGUUGACCUUCUGUCAAUAAUUGAGCCAGCAUAGUCAGCAUCUGUGUAUGUCUCAAGUACUAACCCUUCAUUCCUUUUUAACAGAAUACCUUUACCUAAUGUCCCUUUGAGAUAUUGUAACACUCGAUAAGUUGCCUGUAGAUGAGCUUCCUUUGGACUAUGCAUGAAUUGACUAAUCACACUCACUGCAUAUGAUAUAUCUGGUCGUGUAUGAGAUAGAUAAAUGAGUCUUCCCACCAAACAUUGAUACAUUUCUUUAUCUACUGUAGCAUUCUUUUCUACCUCUCCGAGUCUAAGAUUCGGGUCUAUCAGAGUACUUGAUGGUUUGCAUGUGGUCUUGCCAGUUUCUUUGAGAAGAUCUAUAACAUACUUCUGUUAGGAGAUAAAAAUGCCUUGCUUAGAGUGAGCCACCUCAAUACCAAGAAAAUAUUUCAACCUCCCUAACGCCUUGAUCUCAAAUUCCUUAGCCAAACAUUGAUUUAGAACCUAUCUCUCCUUGUCAUCGUUUCCUGUCACUAUUAUGUCAUUGACAUACACCAAGAGAGCUGUGAGUCCCCCCGAAGAUGAGUGUUUAAUGAACAACGUAUGAUCUCCUUGACUUUGCCUAUAUUCCAUGGUUAUCAUCACUCUUGCGAAUCUUCCAAACCAUGCUCGUGGUGAUUGCUUAACUCCAUACAAGGCCUUUUUUAAUUUACAUACAAUAUGAGCAACUAAAUUAUUGUCAUAACCUGGCGAGACCUCCAUAUAAAUUUCUUCCUAUAGUUCUCCAUGCAAAAAAACAUUCUUGACAUCAAAUUGCUGCAAAUCCCAAUUAUAUUUAGCUGCUAAUGACAAUAAGACUCUAACAAUGUUCAUCUUUGCGACCGGAGCAAAAGUUUCUUGGUAAUCAAUCCCAUAGGUUUGAGUAUAACCCUUGGCAACCAAUCUAGUUUUGUAUCUUUCUAUUGAUCCAUCUACUCUGUAUUUCACAGUAUAAACCCAUUUACACCCCAUGGGUUUCUUUCCUGCCAACAAUUUUACCAACUCCCAAGUUUUGUUUUUUUUUCUAAUGCCUCCAUCUCUAUAUUCAUAGCUUGUUUCCAUUUUUCAUUGGUCAAAGCCUCAGAUAUGGUGGUAGGGAUAGAAAUAGUGUUUAGGCUGACAAGGAAGGCUCUUUGAAUUGGUGAAAAUUUUUCAAAGGAUAGGAAGUGUGUAAGAGGGUAUAGAGGUCGAUUUGUGCAUUCUCUAAUCCCUUUCCUAACAAUAAUAGGGAGGUCUUGGUCAUCAUUGUUCACAUGAGAUUCAAAUUGCAAUGAAGGAUUAGAAAUUGUUCCCUCAUUCUCAUAAUUUAGGUUGAAGUCUUGGACUUUCACAGAUUCAGGGACAACUGUCUUCUUCCUCGAAAACACUUUGUCAAAUCUCACAUUCUCAGGGUCGGAUUUUGGAUUUUCAGGCACAGGUUUAGGUUGAUCAAGCAGCACAAGUUCAGGAUAAUAGAGCAAUUUGGGUAAGGUUUCAAUCAAAUGAUCAGUGGGACGAGAUUGUUUUGACAAGGGAAGUGAUGGCAGAUCAAGGAAUAAAAAAUCCCCCCUAUCCUUAUCUUCCAUUACCAAAUUCUCCCCUUGAAGAUAAGGAAUGGUGAAAUAAGAUUCUUGUUCAUGGAAAGUAACAUCUAUCAAGAGGCCAGUAUGAUCAGAUGCAACUUGAGAGGUAUAGUACCAAUGAGCCACUCAACAGGUCAUUGGAUUCAACAAUGAAUGAAUCUUACUCCACAUCUUCUCAGGGUCUAUAUCAAAUCAAUCUUCUCUCGUAUUAAUUUCUUCAUGGUGUGAAAGCUUUCUUGGUAAUUACCAUUUCGUAAGAGCUUUUAUAUCUCUUGGAAACUUUAGCUUCAUUCUGGAAGUAAAAGUAAUCAAGUUGUUGCUUUCAAUUCCAAGUGCUUUGAACUUGUUGCUAAUAGAGCAGUGCAUUAGUUAUGCAGCAUUUGAUUUCACUACUUGCAUAUUUCCAACAGUACUUAUCAGAUUUUCAAACUCCAUUCUGAUGAACAUCUGCUUUGGUGGUUGUUCUUUCCAGAUUGUUCUUGAUGCUCAGUUUGGUUGUGAGAAGAUGGAGGAAAAGCAAACAAAGUUCAGAGGUUGCCUUGUUUUCUUUCAUUACUUUCCUCCUAUAUUCUUGGCAACUUAACAGACAAAAGAAAGGGUCUAUAUCAGUGAUUUGUAUAGAAAUAAGGUAGGAUUUAGACUUUUAUGAAAGCUUGUCUAGAACUUUUGGAGUUGGACUUGACUAGUAAACCAUGCAUUAGAUUUCCAUAUGACAGAAAAUAUGAAGCUGAAGAUAUGACAUGGAAAUGUAGUGAUUUUCUUUCAAUGAUUGGAAUUGUGGCAUUGAGUUUAUGUUGGAGCUCAAUGUUAAUAGCCUAGGCUGUGUGUUGCAGUUGUGUUUGUCUCUGCAUCUAUUAUUAAAAAAAAGAUGAACACUCUUGGAAUGGAUGAAUUCAGACUAUUUUGAUAAUGCAGUAGUUGUUUAGACAUGUAAAUUCUCAUUUUCUUGUGACUGGGAUGAUUAGAGGAAUGGUAAAUAAACUAAAUCAUAGAUCUUAAUUUAAAAAUGAAUUUUAAAAUUAAAACAUAUAAAAAUUUGCAAUAAUUUAAAAGAUGAAUUUUUUUUUCCUAGAUUGUUUCUUAAUAAAAAAAUAUGAACCAUUAUUAAUUUUAAGAAAUAGUGUUAGAGUGAAAUCAACAUAUUAGGAAAGAUAUGUUUGUUUCUUAGAAAGGAAAAAACAAUAUUAAGACCAUGAAAAAAUGUGAAGAAAAAAAAUUUAAAGGAAUAUAAGAGGAAAAAAAAUUCUUAUCAUUUUCUUUUCUUAUAUUUUUCCUUUCUAUUUACUAUACUUUAAAUUUUCGGAACCAAACAUUCUUAAAUUACCUUCACAAAUUUUACAAUUUUAAAAGGAAUUUAAAAAAAAAAAAAAGAAUUUCUAUUUUAAAAAUAAAAAAUAAAAAGUGUAUCCCUAUCUAUGAACCUUAAACAAAUGAAUCAUAGGAAAGACAUUACUUUUGAGUUGUGAGAUUUUUGUGAAAUGGAAGCUACAUGCAGUACUAGAAAUGGAUACCUGAGGGUGCUCAUCUUGAAGAGUUAAGGCCCAAGCCCCCCACCCCCAUGGUUCCUCAGAGGCUUUGGAUCACAACCCCAUAUCCACUGGGCUUAAGCCCCAUUACAUAUUGGUUCAAGGGUCAACCACAACCUUUAUAUUUAUAAGAUCACUAUCAUUUAGACUAGAAUACAUACAAGAAAAGAUAGAAAAUGAUCGAGAUUGAGAUUUAAGAGAUUUCUUAAUAUUAUUAAGAAUUUCAUAUAGUAGAAUUUCAACAAUGCCCCUAACAAAAAAUGCAAAUAUAUUUUGCAUGUCAAACUUGUCCAAAAAUUGAUGGAAUAUUAGGGCCCGUUUGGUUAAUAUUUUCAAGAACUGUUUUUUAUUCUUGAAAACAAAAAAUACAAAAAACUUGUUUGGGAAAGGGGGUGUGUUUUUGUUUUUUAUGUUUUCUAUGAAAGACACCAAAACUGUUUUGGAAAAAACUUCCCAGAUACAGAGUAUAUACUGUAGGACCUCAGGCACUACCAACUCUCCUAAAAGCAAUUGCUUGUAGGAAAGACAUAUACUCUAGUCUUAUAGUGCAUUCACCCAAGUGCUCACGGCGAACACAAGGGGAGUUGAUGGAGGCGGUCAAUCCUCCGAUCUACCAACAAUCUCCCCCUCAGCGACAUCCCUGGGGUUCGAACCCGUGACCUCAGCUCUGAUACCACUUGUAAGACCUCAGGCGCUACCAACUCUCCUAAAAGUAAUUUCUUGUAGGAAAGGCACAUACCCUAGCCUUAUAGUGCAUUCACUCAAGUGCCCACGGCAAACACAAGGGGAGUUGAUGGAUGCGGCCAACCUUCCGAUCUGCCAACAAUCUCCCCCUCAGCGACAUCCCUAGGGUUCGAACCCAUGACCUCGACUCUAAUACCACUUAUAGGAUCUCAAGUGCUACCAACUCUCCUAAAAGCAAUUGCUUGUAGGAAAGGCUCAUACCCUAGCCUUAUAGUGCAUUCACCCAAACGCCCACGAUGAACACAAGGGGAGUUGAUGGACGUGGCCAACCCUCCGAUCUACCAACAUAUACUUAUAUUUAUAAUAGAGUAAUUACAUUUGGAUCAGAUCAAACCUCAAAAAAUCUAAGGUUGUUACAAGAGAUAAACAUCUAAAUAUAGAUUACAAACAUUCAAAUAUAGGAUAGAUCUGUUGGACAUAAACUCGGAAACGCAGCUCACUGACUUGAGUUUUCUUGAAUAUUUGAAUUAUCAUUAUCAUUAUCGUUAUCACUAACAUUCCACCGCAAAAUAACGGGAAGAUCAUAGAUAGCUAGUUUGUCACGAAGGAAACAAAAUCUAUCAAUCGUAUAUCCUUUAGUAAAAAUAUAUGCAAACUGAAUAGAAGUAGAAAUGUGCUCCAAAAUGAUGUCUCGAUGUGCUACUUUCUCAUGCACAAAAUGAUAGUCCACUUUGAUAUGCUUAGAACGGGCAUGAAAAAUAGGAUUAGAGGCAAGUGCAAGAGCACUAAUGUUAUCACACCAGAUAACAGGAGGAGAAUCAAGAGAAAUUUUCAGUUCACAUAACAGCAUACACAACCAAUAUACUUUAGCGGUUACUAGAGCCAAACAUCUAUAUUCGGCCUCAGUGCUUGAUUUAGAGACCACUGGUUGUUUCUUUGCCGACCAAGAGAUAAGAUUGGGACUAACAAACACGCCAUAGCCAGACGUUGAACGUCUGUCAUCAGGGUUGUUAGGAAUUUGAGGCUAAUCCAACUUAUGGUAAUCACCCUAGAGGGGGGGGUGAAUAGGGUGAUGGUCUCUUUUUCAAAAAUUUAAAAUAUACAAAAAUAAGAGACAAUUAUAUGCAAGUAUAUAAUAAACAAAAUAAAGACAAUUGCAUAUAAUUUAAAAGAGUUAGGGAAGAGAGAGUGCAAACACGAGAGUUUAUAGUGGUUCGAUACUUCCUUGCCUACGUCCACUCUCCUCAACCUCCUAACCGAGUGAGGGUUCCACUAUCUUGAAGCUUCAACCAAGCUUCCAAUCUCUUUACAAUUGGAUUAUGGUUCCAAUUCACCCUCUUGGACUUUUGGCUCCAAGCACCCUUUACACUUCUUCAAGAGAUAUCCUUCUCUUGAACAACCUAUCAAGUGAUACCCCUCACUUGAGAAAAUUCCUCACAAAGAUAUACAAAUAAUGAUCUCUCAAAAUCCUAGUAAUAAAACUUUAGGUUCAAAGAUACAAGAAAAACUAGGAUUGAAUGGUGUACUAAAGAUAUGCAAGUUUUGGAAUAAUGGUGCACUCAAAAAUACUCUUCCAAAGUUCAAAUAUAAUCAAGAAAGAUUUGGGAAGGUUUAGCUUAUGAAACAAUGAAGUUUGGAGCAUUUUUAUAGAAGAAAAAGGUCAUACUAGCCGUUGGGGGUUCGAACGGUCGAGUUAGGGGUCGACCAGUUGACUAGCUGUUAGGAAAAGUGACCGUUGGGCCUCAACCGGACCUCAACCGGUUGAGGUUCAACCUUGACCGGGAAGAGAAGGCCACUGGGAGAGAGAAACUUUUUGGCCUCCCUCAACCGGUCCUCGACCGGAUGAGCACAACCGGUCGACCGGUUGAACCAAUUGAGCCAUAUUUUUGGCUCAACACUCAACCUUUUUCAACUUAAAACCUUUUAACACAAGUUUGAAAAUCAUUUAACACAAGGUUUUAGUUGAAAUCAUGAAAUCAUCCAAUUCUUAAGAUAUUUAAAACAAUAUUACUGUUGGAUGAUUUUGGUGCAUAAAUAAAUAAUGAAAUGCAUGAAAGUCCUAGUGCACCAACAACCUUACAAAGAGAUCCUAAGAAGCUUUGAUCUUGAAAAACUCUUCUCUUUGAGGUGGUCUUCUUCUUCAUGAUUUCUCCUUGGCUUGAUUUGUCUUUGGAUUGCCACUUUGGAAGUUGUUUUGCCUAAUCACACUUGAAAUAUGAUUAUUAGUUCUAAACCUUGUUUUGUUAUCAUCAAAAUCAAGAUUAACCAAACCUUGGUUUCACAAGGGUCACUAGCCUAAUCCGAGUCACAGUAUGCGUUAAUGGUGAAAGAACCAGGUUUGUAAAAGAAUCCAAAGUCCAGAGUAUUUUUCAGAUAACGUAGGACAUACUUGGCUGCUAUCCAAUGAGCUAUAGUUAGGGAUUGCAUAUGUUGACAAAGUUGAUUCAUGGAGUAAGCGAUAUCUAGACGAGUGAGAGUGAUAUAUUGUAAGGCACCGACUGUGUGACGAUAUUCGGAAGGAUCAAGCAAGAGAUCUCCAUCAAAUUUGGAUAGCUUAGUACCCGAAACACAUGGGGCACGAUAAAUACGUAUGCUAAUGAGGUUGACAGAAUCUAAGAGAUCAAUAAUGUAUCGUGUUUGCCGAAGAUGUAGACCGGAAGAAUGACGAGUAGCUUGAAUACCUAGGAAGUAUGAUAACUGCCCUUCAUAGCAAAAUCCAACUGAAGAUUAGAGAUAGGUUCAUCAAUAAACGACCGAACAUUAGAUGUCACGAGAAUGUCGUCUAUGUAAACUAGUAGGAAUGCAUGAUUAGAGUCACGGUGAUAGGUGAACAAAGACUGAUCAACCUGAGAGCUUACAAAUUCGAGAGAUAAAAAGGGCAGUGGAUAAGAGAUUAAACCAAGCCCGAGGGGCUUGUUUUAAUCCAUAAAUAGAUUUAUGCAACUUACACACAAAUUGUGGAUUAGUAGGAUCUUCAAAACCUUUAGGUUGAGCCAUAUAAACUUCCUCAUCCAAAAUUUCAUGAAAGAAGGCAUUAGACACAUCUAGUUGCCAAAUGUCCCAAUUAAAUGAGACAGCAAGGCGAUGACCAUGCGAACUGUGGAUGGUUUAAUAAUUGGGCUGAAUGUGUCAAAGAAAUCAAUACCACUACGUUGGAGAUAACCAACUACAACUAGUCGUGCUUUGAGUCUUUCAAUACUCCCAUCUAGUCGGCGUUUAGAUUUAAAAACCCAUUUACUCGGAACAACAUUUUUGUCGGGUGGACGAGGACAUAAAGUCUAGGUUUCAUUUUCAACAAAUCUUGGAAUUCACACUCCAUAGCUAAAUUCCAUUCAGGUAUAGCAGCAGCUUGAGCAUAGGAAUGAGGCUUGGAAAUAAUAACACCUGCAUGCAAAGCUCGAAGGGGAUGAUGUGUUGAGUAAUAGAGAUGAAAAUCAGGGUAUGUGCAAGGCCUAAGAUGACCAGUUUGUGAUCUAGUGACAACGUGAUAGGAAGGGGUUGAACUGGUCAGAGCAGAAGAUGAGGGCUCAAGGAUGUUGCUAGGAGAAGAGGAAACAGGAGAGUUGAUGUCUGAUGGAGUGUCUGGUGGAAUAGAGAAAUCAUGGUCAGUGGGAAUUAUGGGAGUAGUGUGAGGUGGUGAAACUGAAAAGGAAUGAGAAGAUGAAGGGAAAAUGUGUGAAAGAUGAGAAGGAAAGAAGGGUAGAGAAUUACCUGUUGAAGGAACGCUGCUAUCAAAGUCCAUGAGAGGAGAUUGUACACGAGUAGGAAACAUAACUUCAUCAAAGAUCACAUUUCUGGAAAUGUACACACGUCGGGAGGAAGGAUCAUAGCAACGAAACCCCUUCUUAUUAGAACAAUAACCAAUGAAAAUGCAUGGUGUGCUACAGUAAGAGAGUUUAUUAGGCAUGUAAGGUCGAAGACACAAAAAGCAUUGACACCCAAAGGAACGAAAAUAGCUAAAAUCUGGAGGAAGAUGAAAUAGACAUUCAAAGGGUGAAGAAAAAUUGAGAACUUUUGUGGGCAACUGAUUAAUGAUAAAUAUGGAUGUUAAGAAAGCAUCGACCCAAAAUUUCUUAGGUAAUCCAGAUUAUGCAAAGAGUGUGAGUCCCAUUUCGAUUAUAUGACAAUGUUUCCUCUCGACAAGGCCGUUUUGUUGAGAGGUAUGCGGACAAGAGAGCCGAUGAAAAAUCCCAUUAUCACUCAGAACUUGUUUAAAAAUGGUGGAGCAGUAUUCACCACCAUUGUCACUUUGUAAUUACUUAAUGGGAUAAUUAAAUUGCUUUUCUACUAAAAUUUUGAAUUUGACAAACAUAGCAUAAACAUCGGAUUUAUUAGAAAUGGGAUAUAGCCAACAAAAGCGAGUAAAGUCAUCAAUAAAAAUAACAUAGUAGAGACAACCACUCAAAGAUGGAGUGGAAGUGGACCAUACAUCGGAAUGAAUUAACUCUAGAGGAGUAGUUGAUUCUCUUGAGGAAGCAGAAAAUGGUAAUUGCUUAGACUUACCUAGUUGACAUGACACACAAAUAGACUUUUUAUUGAAAGAAUCACUAACUGGUAGAGAAUAAUUAUGAAGAACAUUAUGUAAAGUAGACGAUGAAGGAUGUCCCAAACGACAAUGCCAAAUAGCGGUAGAGGCCUUAACCCCAACAGUCAUGGAGAAAGCAUGAAAUUUAGAUGAUGAUAGCUGUUGUAGGUUGAUUGGGUACAAUUUCCUAUCACUGGGCCCUGUCAUGAGCGUGUCCCUCGUCUUGAGGUCCUUUAUAGAAAAAUUGGAACCAGUAAGUUCAAAUAACACAUUAUUGUCCUUACAAAAUUUAUUAAUAGAAAGAAGAUGGGCAGAGGCUUGAGGACAAUAAGCAACAUCAUUUAAAGCAAGAGUAGAGAAAGGAGUUUUAAUAGUAGCAUUGUCAGUACAUGAGAUUAUCAAAUCUGCCCCAUUACCUACGCCCACGGUAUUAGUGCCUUCAUAAGGCUAAGAAAUUUCCAAAUUAGCCGCAUCAGAAGUAACAUGAAUAUUCGUACCACUAUCAGCGUACCAUUGAUGAUGAUUCAGGUAGGUGGUAUUGGCCUCAGCAACCAUAGCUGCCAACUCUGUUGGGGGAUGCCUCCUUUGAAAUGCAUAGUUCAUUCGGUUGCAACAAUCUAAUGUCUGGUGAUUUUCUCUUUUGCAGAUUUGACAAGGUGAUCAAGACUGAGAAUCAUGGGACACAAGUGGAGAAGAUGAAGAUGGCAAGUGGGGUAGAGGCUGCCGAAAUGGUGAAGAAGAUGGAACUAAGCCAAGAAAUUUGGACGUACCUGAAGAGGGAGACCGAUUGAUAUUGUUACUACGUGCUCCUGGUUUAGAACUAUUUUUAUGGGAAUAAAGAGCAUAAGAACUAGUCUUGGGUUGAAUGGUGUGAUUGUGAAAUUUCUACAUGAGAUCAUAGUUGAGCAGCUCGGCAUGAAAGUCAGAAAAAGACAUGGAUUUUUCCUUUGCAAACAGCAUGUAUGUUGUGACAAAGGAAUGAAAGGAGGAGUUGAGUCCAUUAAGCACAGAUAAAAUCAAGUCAAAAUCCUCAACAGGUUUGCCAACUGCUAAUAAUUCAUCUGAGAGAGAUUUGACUUCAUCCUGAAAACUUUGGCACGACAUGGAGCCUUGCUGAAAAGAUUGAAGUUUUCUCUUGAUGAGAGAAAUUCGAGAAGUGGAAAGUGCAACAAAACGCAAAUUGAGGUCCUGCCAAGCAAGCCGAGAUGUUUCCAGACCAUAAAUAGUGGAAACAAUUGAAGGAGAAAGGGAUGAGACAAUCCAACCAAGCACGGUUUGAUCCUUGUACUGCCAAACUACAUAUGCAGAGUUAAAAACACUUUGAUCACAGAGCUCAUCACUAGAAUAUUGAGAAGGGCAGGGAUUGGAACCAUCAACAAUCCCCAUCAAGCCAUAGCUCCGAAAAAGUGGAAUUAAUUGGGCACUCCAAGCAAGAAAGUUAGUACCAUCAAGCUUGAUGGAAAUAACUUGUGUUGGAAGGUUAAAGGUAGCGAAAGCAUUAGAUGAAACAACCAUAGGAUCGAGUAAAGCGUGAGCUUAUAGUGGCUUUGAUACCAUGAAAGAAAUCAAAACUAUUCUAGAAAAAACUUCCCACAUACAAACUAUAUACAUAUAUUUAUAAUAGAGUAAUUACAUUCGGAUCAAAUCAAACCUCAAAAAAUCUAAGGUUGUCACAAGAGAUAAACAUCUAAAUAUAGAUUAAAAACAUUCAAAUAUAGGAUAGACCUAUAACAAUAAAAAGAUGUUUUCAUUGUUUUUUCACUAUUCAAAAAAUAUAUUAUUUUUCGUGUUUUUUUUUGUGUUUUCUUAAUUAUUUUUUGUGUUUCCACAAAGGUGAGCUUCACCCAACCACCACACCCUCACCUACAAACCUUUUCUUUUUCAUUAAAUUAUUGAAAUUAAUAUACUUACACAUAGUGAUAAAGUCAUCAUUUGUUUAAGAAAAUUAUAACUAGUGUAAAAAUUUCAAAAUGGAAUAAUUUUUUUAAAUUUAAAUGAAUUGUGUAUAUGAAAAUUAUUUAUAUAUUUAUAAUAUCAAGUUAAUGGAAGAAAAUACUUUAUUAAUUAAAAAAAACUUUCAAAUAUGUUUUUUGUUUUACUUAUUCUAAAUUUUUUUUUUUUAUUAAUUCAACCAAACAUGUUUUUUUUAAAAAAAACAAAAACUGUUUUCCAGAAUUCAAUUCCAAAACAUAAUUUUUUUUUUUUAAACACAAAAAACUGUUCUUAAAAAUUAUUCUCAAAAACUGUUUUCCAGAACAGUUUUCAAAAACAGCAACCAAACAAAUCGUAAACUUGUCAAAAAAAUGCAAAUAUACUUUUUUAGAUAAAAUGAAUAUUAAAAAUCUUCUUAAUCAUGUGUAUUGUGGGUAGAAUUUGGCGUCAUCAACGUAUUUGGUUUUCAGAACAAUUAAGGUAACAUAAGGAAAAGAAAAUAGAAAGAAAAUGUAAAAGAGAAAAAAAAAAUUUUAAUUCAAUAAUUUUUUUAUAUAAUAUUUCAAACUUAUUUAAGUUAUUUGAAAUUUUUAUAUAAAAAUGGAAUAAUAUUUAUAAUAAUAUUUAUUGAUUUUUAUUUAACUUAUUUAACUAACAUAGGUUUCUUAGUGAUUUUAAUAAUAUUUGAUUUUUUAUAUAUUUUUUUCAUUAAAAAAAUCAUUUUAUUUAUUUCCUUUCCUUCAAAUUUUAUAAGAAACAAGUUAAUGUAUAUUAUUAUUUAUAGAAAGACAAAAAAUUAGAAAAUACAUCAUCAUGAUGUUCUCCUGCUUAGAUCUUUCUAGAUCCAAACAAACAGAAAAGUUAUCCAGAAGGAAGAAAUCAAACUUAUCCUGAAUUUUGGGUCAAAGUCCUGAAGGAAGAAAUCAAAUCAUCAUCAUCUAGUUUAGAAGUAGAUCCAAACAAACAGAAAAGUUAUCCUUAAGGAAGGAAUCAAAUAAUGUCGGUCCCACAGAACAGGAAAUAUCAGUGGUUUGUGAGUACCAUUCACAUUUCACCCCGACCACCCACUUGCACGCUACCUUUAUAAACCAUGAUUGCACCUCAUGACUUGUCUACCUUCUGCAAGUCAAAUAUGGAAAUCUAGUGGGACUCGCCCGACGCCCUUUCACACGAAAAAACAUUAUUUUAUUUCCAAAAACCUGUUCAGACAACCAAACAUGCUUUCAUAUCUAUUUUUUUGUUCUCGAAAUAUAUAUAACUUAUUAAUUUCAAGAACAAUUUUCAACCACAACUUUGAAGUUUUUUCUGAUUGGUGAUCUCAUGAAGUCUAAUUUUCAAGAACAUAUAUAAAAUGGGUCUCAAUUUAAUUAUCAAUUAUAGAAGAAACAGUUAGCUUUACUCCUCCAUUCAGCCUUCUGCAGUAUGCCAUUUUUUUUUUCCAUCCGUCAACUACUGGACAAAUUAGUGUACCCAAAUUACAAGUAAAAGUAAAAAAAUAAUAGGCAGAGAAAGUCGUAGUCAAGGUUGGCUACACCGGGAAAUUUCCCCACCAAAAAUAAAAUCUUACACACCUCUACAAAUGAACUGAUCAGCUCAAGGACUUUGAGGAGGAGAAGAUAUAUCAUAUAUGGCUACUUUUCCAGAUAUUCAUGGGAAGACUCUCUUCUUUGCUUUUAUUCUCACGCUGCUCAUACUCAUGUGCUUCGGUUCCAGCAGCGUUGAAGCCCAAGGUGGUCAGCUUCCUCGUGAUGAAGGUAAGAGAUCAAACUUGAUCCUUUUUUUUCUCUCUUUUUAAAUAAAAAUUGAGUCAGAAGGGAUAAAAUCAUAAAAUAGAAUGUAUAUAUAGGGUGUAGGGCGUCUCACCAAACAAAUUUGAAGUGUGGUGACUGGAGGCUAACUGAGCGGCCAUGCAGGCAUGGACUGCCUUCCACCUCACAUUAAUUUCCUUUCCCACAAUAGCCUAACUAUGAACCUUACUCAAAUGAAUUAUAUGCAACAUAUUAAAUCUGAGUUGUGUGAUUUUUGUGCACUGGAAGCUACGUGUAAUACAAGAACGAAUACUUGAGGUUGAGGUUGAGGGUGCUCUUCUUGAAUAGUUCAGGCCUAAGCCCAACCUAAUAGUUGCUCGGAGGGUUUAGAUCACAGCCCCAUAUCCACUGGCCCCAAGGCCCCAAGACAUCAAGACAAAGCCCAUGCUCCUUAGGACUGGCCCAAAUUAUAUCCUUAUCCUAGGGGCGUAAAAAUACCAAAAAUCACCGAUGAUAACAAGGCUAAGUGCCCACUAGGCCCAAAGACCUGGAGGAAGCCAAUGUUCGGAAAGGUUUUCACAUUUGGUACCUGUACACGAGGGAUGAAAAGAGCUAUGAAGUUGAAUUGAUAUAGUUGAUAGCUGCUUGAAUCAAAAUUGAAUUGAUCCUUUUAGUGAUUGAAAUUUAAAUUUCUUUCCUCCUGAUUUGAUUUGAUUUAGAUGAUUGGCUAGAGGCAAGUAAACUUAGGUGGUGUUUGUUUUUAUACUUAAUUCUAAAUAGAACCUUAAUGUUUAAUAAUGUUAAAUAAUAAGUUGUUUAUUUUUGUAGUAUUUUAUUUCUAUUAAGUAUUAAAAAGUAAAGAAAAACCAAUAUGUUAUUUUUUCUAUUUAGAAAAAACUAUAUAUUUUGACUUUUUUUAAUCAAUAAAAAGUUUAUAAUAAGUCAUAAAAAAAUAGAAAAACAAACAACUUAAAUUUUAAAAAUAAAUUGAUUUUAGCAAAAAGUCAAAAAAACAAACACCACCUUAGACAUUAUACAAAUCUAAGUUCGAAGUUGUAUGAAGUAAUUUGGUUAUAAUCUAAUAAUAAUAAAUUAUUAUAAUAGUGUGGACAAUAUAUAUAUAAUAAUAAAUAUAAAAAAACUAAUAAAAUAUUGAAUAAUUACAAAUCAUAAGAGAUUAAAAUCUUAAAAUAUCAAUUUGGUUUGUGUUUUUUUAUCUCUUAUGAGACAAAAAAAUUUGAAAAUAGAAUCGAUAAAAUUUCUCGGUCUUUACACAAGCAUACAUGCAUAUGGGCAAAAUAUAUAGAAAUAUUUGGUUACAAAAGAGGAAAUAAUCCUCAAAUCGAAAAUCUAAUCCUUUUCAUAUUUUUUUUUUGGAAAAGUAAUAUAUUUUUGACAUAAAUAUCAUUUUCUAUUUUAAGUAUUUACACGUAGGUUUUAAAAGAAAUUGUUAUUUUUAUAAUAAAAUAAUAAAUAUAUUUUUAUCCAAAUGAUGUCAAAAAAGACGAGGGGUUGAAUUUCAAAUUUUGGGUGUAUAUAUAUAUAUAUAUAUAUUUACACGUGCGAGUGUGUAUAUGUAUUUGGGAUUAACGACCAACUCCUAUAUACUGAUGUGUGCAGAGGAGGCUCUAGAAGAAAUAGCAGAACAAGUGGGGAAAAAGGAUUGGAACUUCAGCCUAAACCCUUGUGAUGGCAACUCCAACUGGUCCACACCUAACAGGAAGGAAAAGCCAUUGUAUAACAAUACUCUCACCUGCAAUUGCUCCUAUCCCAACGGUCAAUGCCACGUCGUUCAGAUGUAUGCUUCCUUCCCUAAUUUUAUACAUAUAUCCAUCCACAUGUUGAAGUUUUAACAGUUACCAUUCUGAUUUCUUGCAACUAUAUUCAAUGGUGCUAUGUUUCUAACUGUGUGUAUGUCAUUUUAUUUUUGUGGGGUGGGGGUGGGGAUGGGGAUGGGGAUGGGGAUGGUUGGUUAUGAGAACAUACCAAAAACACAGUAUUAAAUCAAUCAUGAUUAAACCCCAUUUUGCCUCUGUGUGUUGUUUGAAUUCCCAACCCUUUUAACUGAGAUAUUGACAAGCCCUUUUGUAGCCAGUCAUUCGCUUAUAUACAAAAUAUACAGUUAUUUUUGUGACUUUUGUCCAUGUAGUCAGUUUGGUCCUACCACUUGAAAGAGGAGAAACAAAUCAUUUUCCAUUCAUAAAAAAAUCCAAGUACUAGAUUUUCCCCCUCAAUGCUUGUAUCUUUUCAGUUGGUCAUUGCUUACAUAUGGGAGUUUGGUCUCACCCACUACCUAUUUGAGAGCUUUGUCAUUGGAAUGCCUCUGAGGAUAUAUAUUCUCCUCUCCUUACUUUAAGCUCGGUCAAUCUACAAAAUCUAUCAUAGUCAUUGCAUCUCAAUUAACAAGGAGUUUGACAAUCUUUCUUAGUCAUUACUGUGCCAUUUAGAAUUUUGGGGGUGCUUCAAUGGUUUACAAGGUCUAUGGAGAUAUGUCCACUUCCUAAGCAACAUCCAUGAUCUUCUAUUAGUUGAUCCGAGAUGAUUAGAAAAUUCUCUUGAAGAAAAACAGGGUCAUUAUGUUUUUCUUUUAAUGCAAAAUGACUUUUGGAGUUAGAUGUGGGGUUCUUGCAUGCAUAUACAUACUGCUUAGAUAUACAUGUAUAUAAGCAUGUAUUCAGUGGGUGACAAAUAAAGAAUCUCAGGCCAUCAACUACUAAAAUACAAUCCUCCUCAUUACAUAAACACUUGUGAUAUGGUAUACAUAUAUACUUGAAUCUAUAAUGUACAUAUAUAACGCUUUCAUAGUGCCAUGGACCACAAAGUAUACUGAAGUUCUCAAUCUAACUUUGGAUUAUUCAUGGUUUACGUGCUUCUAGGGCUUGUGAUUUUGAUGUUCCUCUAUUUUAUGAGCUACUGAAUUAUGAAUUUCUCAUUGUUUCUUAAUUUGUAUUCGCACUUGCAUAACUCUAUUACAUGUUUUUAUAUAAAGCAGUUCACACAUGAAUAGUUGUUUACCAAGUGUUUUUCUUCACUUUACUCGCAUCUACUAACAGAACAUUACAUUUGAGAAUUUACCAAACCAAAACUCGAAUCCUGUGGACCUGUAUUACCUUGUUUCUUUAUCAAAUAGAUUUCUCAAAGGGCAAGAUCUUGCUGGUGUGCUUCCGCCCUCUCUGGCGAAACUGUCUUACCUUAAGAUAAUGUAAGAAGUGCUUCUAUAAAUACAUAUGUUUUUCAAAACAUAAAUUCCCAUUUCAAACUUUCAUUGUUUUGACAUCUUUUUUUUUUUUUUCCCUUGUCUAUAGUGAUUUCACUAGGAACUAUCUUAGUGGUAACAUACCGCAUGAAUGGGCUUCUGUGCAAUUAGAAUAUAUGUGAGAUAUUUCUGCACUUCAUUUUUAAGGUUAGUUUAUAGAUGAUCUUUAUAGGAUUGACAGAGUAAACUAUUCCUUACAGGUCACUUACUGUGAACAGGUUAUCAGGACCAAUACCAAGCUUCUUGGGAAACAUUACUACUCUGAGAUAUAUGUAUGUAGUGACAUUCACUCUAUCUCACUGGCCCCAUUUUCUUUUCUGGGAAGUGCUUCGUAGUUUGUUUAGGUUUGCUCUCACUAUCAUCUUAAAGAAACUGAAUUGAAUUUUCAGGAGUAUGGAGAACAACAUGUUCUCUGGAACUGUUCCUCCUCAGCUUGGGCAAUUGGUCAACUUGGAAAAUCUGUUGGUCCUUCUCCUCUUAUCACUAUUCUUGGCUAUUAAUUUCUUAAUUAUCUAUAAUCCUUCAAAAUUAUAGCAAUUUAUUUUGGUUUGAUCUUCUUUUUGGUGACUAGCAUUCUUAACGCUAACAAUCUCACUGGGGAGUUGCCUCCAGCACUUGCUAAUCUAACCAAAUUAACAGAAUUGUAAGAUUUCAAUGUCCUUUAGAAUAUUGUAAAUCUAAACAUCUCAUAUAUGUGAUGGAUAAAAAGAUUAGCUUUUAUACGGUUGCAUUUUUGUCUUUGUGUUGGAUCCAAUGCAGUCGGAUUAGUAGCAACAAUUUCACUGGAAAAAUACCCAAUUUUAUUCCUAGUUGGAAACAACUUCAGAAAUUGUAAGUUCCUUCUCGUGUUCUGAAAUUUUUUUAUAUUAGAAGUUUUCAAGUGCAAUCUUAGUGAAUUAGAAAUGUGUGGUUAACAGAGAGAUCCAAGCAAGUGGUCUUGAAGGGCCCAUACCUUCUAGCAUUUCUGUCUUGAAGAAUUUAACUGAAUUGUGAGUUAAACCUUCUUAGUCAAUAUUUUGUUGAGUUGCUUAAUUUUUGCAGCAAUUUGCUUUUCACAUCAUAUUAUCAAAAUAGACUGGGAUUUUAAUUUUUCUUAGUGGGAUUCCAUGCAGAAGGAUUAGUGAUUUACCUGGGGAAGGCUCAAAUUUUCCACCUCUAGGAAACAUGAAAGGCCUGCAAAAGCUGUAAGUUGUAGUUAUGGUUUAAAAAUUCUUUAGGUGCAUAAUCAUUCUCAUACUCCUGUGAUAGUACUUAUAUGGAUCAGGUUUACCUUGCAGGAUGUUGAGAGGCUGUAAUAUCUUCGGAUCAAUCCCCAAAUAUUUAGCAGAGAUGACAGAACUGCAAAUUUUGUAAUUCCACAACUAACUUUUUUUUUUUUUUCCCAUUGCCUUUCAUUUUUGGCAAUGCUAGUGAGUGCGCUGGAGUAAUGCAUUCCUAAUAUUACAAACUUAAUAUUACUAUGAACUUGUGUGUAUAUGCAUGGAAACAAGAUGUCAAAUAUUGUAUUUAUUUGAUUUUCAAAAGAAUAUAAAUAUGAGUGGACAUGUCUAAGGUAGUUUCAGCAAACAACUAUGUAAGGAUUAUUCUUCUUUCAUCUUUUCUAUCAUGGUAACUCAAAUUGAACUGAGAAAUUAUAUGUUUAUCCAGACCUAAAUUUUAGCCUUGACCCUUUACUAUUUGUGAGCCUUCUUUCAUAGGGAGAUAAGGUAAUUAUUUUCCUGCUCAACUAAGGAGGAAAAAAAUUGAAAAAGUAAACCAUUUUUUUUUUUUUUUGCUAUACUAGGAAGGAUUCAUGGGCCAGAACUUGCCAUGUGGAGAUGCUGACUAAGGGUGUUGGGAAAUUUGGAUCAAAAUUGUGUUUUGUUUUCUACUUUUUAGUUGGGAACAUUGUUUGUUGUCCUUUUUUGCUUUGAAAAACAAAUCCUUCCCUCUUGUGCAUUUUUUCCCUAAAUAAACUUUUCUUCUGUGAUGAAAAGAACAAGAGAGGGAAAAAUAGAAAAAGAAAGAUUUUGAUUGUAUUGAAACCUUUUUAUUAGAUUAAAAUGACUAUUUAAGUAAGAUACUGGUAAUAGGGACCCUUAAUUCACUUUUUUUCUUUUUUUUUACUUUUGACAAAAAAGAGGCAAGGUUGAUAAGUGAUAUGAACAUAUGGUUGACUUGUUUGUAUGUAAUUUCAUCAUUGAAUUAUGUCUCUUCUUUUUCUACUUAGUUUUUAUAUUGGUGGCAUUUUUUGUUUCCAAAUUUGUAUUGCACUAAAUUCAGUAGAAGGAUCAUUUGACUAAACCUUUAUUUUGUUUGCUUAAUUAUGACAUCUAUAUUGUUAUUUUCUCACAGAGACCUUAGCUUCAACAAGCUGGAAGGAAUUGUUCUAAACCUGGAAGGUUUAACACAAAUAGAAUUCAUGUAAGCAAUUGAAAAUCAAGAAAGCAUGCCUAUUUUUGUUGCAUAGGAAGCCUUCUUGUAGAUUGAUACACUAAAAUAUAUGUAUGAUUGGUCCAUUCUUGGUAGUUUACCUAGAUCAUAGAGUUGCUAAACUAUGACUAAACUCACACUCGAAGGAUGUAGGUUUACCAAGAAGGUUAUAGUAUAGAAUGAUAUAAGAAAUUGAGUUGUAUGUAGGGAAGGUUUCCUACAUAUUUCGCCUAUGGUUUAUGCUUUACCCUCACCAAAAUUCAAACUACAAUUUUCUUCAAUAUGACUCUGCAUAACAUUUUGAGACAGAGUAACUACUUACAUCUCUUAACAAUUAUGAAACUUUGUUAUUUUCUGUUUAGGUAUUUGACAAGCAACUAUUUAACUGGGUCUAUUCCGGACUGGAUCGAGAGCAGAAAUAAUCGCUAGUAUGCUUUUAAGCCUACAUUUUCAAUUAAUUAAUACAUGAAAUUACUUAUUUUGUGCCUCAAUCUCCUAUUUUUAUAUGCCUAAGCUAUAUAUAUAUAUAUAUAUAUAUAUAUAUAUAUAUAUAUAUAUAUAUAUAUAUAUAUUUAUAUAUAUAUAUAUGAAUUCGUCCUCUAGAAAGUGAUUCUUCUCUAACCCUUUUGGAGAUUUGUAUGUAGCAGACUUGUCUUAGUCAUUUUCAUCUCACCAUGUGCAACAUCUGAAAUCAUCCCUGCGUAUUCAUAGGUGUAGCAAGGCAUUGCAAAAAUUGAAAAAGAAAAAAUGUGCAUUUUUUUAUUCUCUCCAUUGUCUAUGUUUUUUUAUUAUUUUCACAACAAUCUGAUUUUGGCUGGGCCAGCCCCUGAACAAUCAUUAGUUGAGUGUACAACAUCUAAAAAGUGGAACAGGGACAUGGUAGAUAUAUUGUAAUGCUGAUUUAGAUGGUGAGGUAGAAGUUCUCAAUUCAUAAACUUUUUGUCAUUAUUUUAUCAAUUCGUAAAAUUUUUGUCAUUAUUGCUGCAUAUUAGCCAAAUCAGUUCUUACUGUAGCUACUGAAGGGAAGAAAUCAUAGAGAAGUUACUCAUAUGUGUGCUCCAAAAGCUUCUCAUCCUAAAAGAAUCUAACUCCUUAGCUCUUAAUUUCAAAAUUAGGUCAAAUUCCCUCCAUGGUUUCUUUUGCAAACUUCUAGUUAAUAUAGCAUUGAUAAUUCUUGUAAGAGUUCUUAAAAUGUUUGUGUGCAGCCAAACAGAUAUUUCUUAUAACAACUUUUCUAAAAGCUCUAUGCCAUCUUCUUGUCGAGAAACCCUGUAAGAACUUUUUUUUUUCCUGAUUUAAACCUCACUCAUUGAGCUUUACACAGAUAUUUUUCUUCAUUCACUAUCUAUUUGGUUGAAAAUAACUUUUUGUUGUUUCAUCAGGAACUUGUUCCGAAGCUUUUCUGAAAGGGGAAAAUUGUAAGCUUGUAAUUUUUUUCUAACUAAACUUUGAAGAGUAGUGAUAUGUAGGUUUGUUAGUUUCCCUGUACAAUACUAAUGCUUAUCAAAUCUAUGCUUUAAUAUAGAGAAUUUGAUGAGUGCCUGAACAGUUUUCCAUGUCUCAAAGGUAAAUGCCUCAAUUAUGUUUUAUGGACUUAUUUCCAUGCAUGAAUUUUAGUUAUGUUACUUCUUCUAUGUUUUAAACUUAUUUGAUCAUCACUUAUAUUGUUGUUGUUUUCUGAAGAUCAGUAUUCACUGCAUAUAAAUUGUGGUGGAGGAAGAACCAUCAUUGGAGACAUAGUCUAUGAAGCGGAUGAAGACUUAGCAGGUCCAUCCAAGUUUGUCCCCACUAGAGAUAAUUGGGGUUUUAGUAGCACAGGAGACUUUUGGGAUCGUGACAGAACCACAAAAAAUUAUAUAGCACAGAAUGUAUCCAUGCUCGGGAUGAAUGACUCUGAAUUGUACACAAGAGCACGACUUUCUCCUCUAUCUUUCACUUACUAUGGACGCUGCUUAGCAGAUGGGACCUAUACUGUGAAACUUCAUUUUGCAGAGAUAGUGAUCAGAGACAAUAAAUCCUUUCAUAGUCUUGGAAGACGUAUUUUUGAUGUUUACAUCCAGGUAGUCAAUCAUAUUAUUCUGCAACUGAAUCGUCAAAGACAAUAAUUUAAUUCAAUUAUUUUAUUGCAGGAAAAGCUGGAGUUGCAAGAUUUUAAUAUUGUACAAGCAGCACAAGGGGUUGAUAAGGUAGUUGUAAGAGAAUUUAAAGCAGUCGUAAGGAAUAAGACUUUGGAGAUCCGAUUUCAUUGGGCUGGGAAAGGUACAACAGCUGCCCCAGAGGGAGGAACCUAUGGUCCUCUCAUAUCAGCCAUUUCUGUAAAAGCUGGUGAUGUAUUUGUAUUCUUCUUGUCACUCUUAUCAUAUUUGAGUUUGAGAUUCUUAGUUUGUCCAACUUGUUCUGCACUUUGUGUGAAUAAAUAAGUAUAUAUGCAUAGUGAUACAUUUAGAAAACACUCCCUUAAAUUAUGUGAUGCAAAAAUCAAUACCUAAGGCAAGAUUACAUUGGUAUUUGACAAGAGACCGAAUCAAUUUGCUGUCUUAUUUUCUUGCCAGCUCAUUUGCUUGUCUGGGAAGUGUAUUAUCCAAUUGAUGUUUUUAUAUCCAUAUUAAUGUUUGGAUUGGAUGAAACAUUCAUAAUUCAUCGUAUGCACUAUGCAAUCUGACAUGUUCUUUUAUAUUUUUUGUUCUUCUUUGUGUAGAUUUUGAGCCGUCUUCUGAUGGAAAAAAGAAGAUAUUCAUUGCAGUUGGGGCUGUGGCUUUCAUGAUAUUCCUUAUUUUAGGUAUUCUUUGGUGGAAAGUUUGUUUUGGUGGCAGAAUCUCCCGGGAACAAGGUGGUGUUAAACUACUGCACAAACUAAACUUAAGUAUAUUUCUUACAGGCAUGCUAGCAAUCAUAUAGAAUUUUCAAUAGUUUUAUUUCAAUUAUGGUAAUAGAUGAUGUUGAAAGAGAGAGAGAGAAAACCUUAAUUCUCAUUCAUGUGAUUAACUUCUUACAAUAGAGAAAUAUAUAUACAAGGCUAGGUUGAACUAACUACUAUAUAUGUGACCUAUAUUAAGAAAGGAAAGAAAGAUUGUACACUAUAAAUACAUUAUAUUCAACACUCCCCCUCAAGCUGGAGCAUAUAUGUCAUAUGCACCAAGCUUGUUACAAAUGUAUUUAAUCCUAGGACCUUUGAGAGAUUUAGUGAAGAUGUUUGCUAGUUGAUCAUUUGAAUUAACAAAACUUGUAGCAACACACCCUGAUGCAAUCUCCUCUCUAAUGAAGUGACAGUUAACUUCAAUAUGCUUGGUCCUUUCAUGAAAGACUGGAUUUGAUGCAAUAUGUGAUGCGAUCUGAUUAUCACAGACUAGCUUUAUCUGUUCAUCUUUUCCAAAUCUCAAUUCCUAAAGGAGUUGCCUCAACCAUAUGAGUUCACAUGUUGCCAAAGUCAUAGCUCGAUACUCAACUUUAGCGCUUGAUCUGGCCACUACAUCUUGUUUCUUACUCUUCCAGGAUAUUAAGUUACCUCCAAUAAAAACACAAUACCUUGAGGUGGAACACCUAUUUGACUGUGAACCAGCCCAGUCUGCAUUUGUGUAACCAACAAUUUGGGUAUGACCCCUGUCUUCAUACAACAUACCUUGGCCCUAGUGUUCCUUUAAUAUAUCGAAGAAUGCGGAUCACAACAUCCCAAUGGUUGUCACAUGGUGACUGUAGAAAUUGACUAACCACACUCAUAGGAAAAGAGAUGUCUGGCCGAGUAAUGGUGAGGUAGUUCAGUUCGCCUACAAGUCGUCGAUAUCUCCCAAGACCUCUUAGAGGCUCCCCCUGUCCUGGUACAAGUUUGACAUUUGGAUCCAUAGGAGUGUCAACAGGUUUACAUUCUAACAUACCUGUUUCUUCCAAGAUGUCUAAGGCACACUUCCUUUGUGACAUAACCACACCUGAACUGGAUUGAGCUAUUUCAAGUCCCAAAAAGUACUUGAAUUUACCCAAGUCUUUGGUUUGAAAGUGGUUGAAAAGGUGUUGCUUUAGUCUUUGGAUACCCUCCUAAUCACUGCCUGUAAUGACAAUGUCAUCCACAUAAACUACCAAAUAGAUGCACUGGCUCGAAGAGUUAUGAUGAUAGAAAACUGAAUGAUCUGCUUCACUCCGAAGCAUUCCAAACUCUUGAACAACUGAACUAAAACGCCCAAACCAUGCCCGAGGAAAUUGUUUCAAGCCAUAUAGAGAGCGACGUAACUUGCAUACUAAACCAGACUCCCCCCGAGCAACAAAACCAUGUGGUUGCUCCAUAUACACUUCCUCGAGAAGUUCACCAUGAAGGAAAACAUUUUUAAUAUUCAACUGAUAAAGAGGUCAAUGACACAUAGCUGCCAUGGAGAGAAAUAAGUGAACAGAAGCAAUCUUGGCAACAAGAGAGAAGGUGUCACCAUAGUCACAACCAUAAAUCUGAGUAUAACCUUUAGCAACCAAGUGGGCCUUAAGGCGAUCAACCUGACCAUCAGGACCAACUUUAACAGUGUAGACCCAACGACAUCCAACUGUAGAUUUACUAGGAGGUAAAGAAACAAGAUCCCAUGUGUCAUUGGAGUGCAGAGCAGUCAUUUCAUCAACUAUUGCCUAUUGCCACCUAGGAUGAGAAAGUGCCUCACUAGUGCUCUUAGGAAGAGAAACAGAGGAUAAAGUAGAGACAAAGGCAGAAUAGGAUAAAGAUAAUCUAUGGUAGCUCAAAAAAUUAAAAAUAGGAUGAGGAUUACGAGUAGAUCGAUUACCUUUCCGAAGAGCAAUAGGCAAAUGGUCAGUAGAUGACAGGGCCGGGGUAGGAGAAAUCGGUGGGACAGGAGGUGAGUCAUCAGGUACCUAAGCUGAAGAGAAAAGAGGAGCAACAGCACGAUGUCGACAAUGAUAAACUUGAAGAGGACGAGAGAGCGCAUCUGAAGGGGGAUAUAUAGGGAAGUGACAAUACUUCAGAAAUGGGAAAAUAUUCAAAGAAUGAGAAGAAUGGAGAGUCCUCAAAGAAGUAGACAUCAUCGGAGAGAAAAUAACAAUGAGUGUAAGGGGAAUAACAACGAUAACCCUUCUAAAGUCGAGAGUAUCCCAAGAAGAUGCAUUUCGUAGCCUUGGCGGAGAGCUUGUCCUGUCCAGGUGUGAGAGUAUGAACAAAACAAGUACAUCCUAAGACACGAGGAGGAAGGAAAUAAAGAGGUUCGGUGGGAAAAAUGAGGGAAUGAGGGAUUUGGUCAUGUAAUAUAGAUGAGGGCAUACGAUUAAUCAAGUAACAGGAUGUAAGAACAACAUCCCCCCAAAAAUGAAAAGGAUCAUGACUAUGGAGAAGGAGGGUACGAACUGUCUCAACAAGAUGUCAAUUUUUACGUUCAACAACCCUAUUUUGUUGAGGAGUAUGAGUACAAGAUGACUGAUGGAGGAUCCCAUGUUGGGACAUAAAAGAAGUAAAGGGUGUAGAAAAAUAUUCCCGAGCAUUGUCACUGCAUAACACUCGAAUAGAAAUAUUGAAUCGUGUUUGGAUUUUAGCAUAAAAUUUAUGGAAAAUAGAGAAUAACUCACCUCGAUUUUUCAUCAAUGAAAGUAACAAAAUACUGAAAUCCUAAAGUAGACGCGGUCCGACACGGACCCCAAACAUCAGUGUAGACAAGUUUAAAAUGAGACUUUGCCUGAUUAUUCAAAUGUUUUGGGAACGAGACACGAAUAUGUUUCCCAAGCUGACACGAAUAUGUUUCCCAAGCUGACACGACUCACACGCAAACGACGACAAAGUGGAAAAACGAGGGACCAUAUUCUGGAACUUGGAGAAACUAGGAUGACCCAGACGACUGUGAAUGAGAAGAGGAGCAUCGGUGGAAAUGCAAGCUGUAGGAGAUGAAGGUGAUGUGAGGUGAUAGAGGCCUUGAGACUCACACCCUAUGCCAAUCGUCUUCCCCGUACUCCGAUCCUGCAAGAUCACUGAUUUAUCAGAAAAAGUGAUAGAACAAUUAAGAGUGCGAGUUAUUUUGCUGAUGGAAAUAAGAUUAAAAGGACACUCAGGGGCCUAAAGGACAGAAUGGAGAUGUAAGGAAGGGAGAGGAUGAGCCAAACCAAUACCUUUAGCCAUAGUUUGGGAACCAUUAGCUAAAGUAACAGUAGGUAAGGCAGAGGUAGUAGUAAUAGAUGAGAAAAUGUGUUUAUUACCAAAGAUAUGAUCAGAUGCUCCAAAAUUUAGAAUCCAUGGGCCAAGAGAAGAAGACUGAGUAAAGCAGACAGAAACAUUACCGGUCUAGGCAAUAGAAGCAACAGAAGCUGAUGUGGCUGCUUGAUAUCGGAGAUAGGCAUCAUAAUCACUACCAGAAAAGGUGAUACUCUGAGAUGUGGAGCUCGCAACGGAGUCAGGUCGAGAUAGCAGAGGAUUAGAUGAUUGAGCAAUGUGGGCAGUGCGAGGAGGCUGUCCAUGUAACUAAUAGCAACGAUCUCGAGUGUGACCAAGCUUAUUACAAUAGGUGCACUGAGGACGUUGUCCUCGACCCCGAUUGCCACUACGUCCUCCUCGAGAGUUAGUCUGAGAGGCUAACACAGAUGAAUCUGAAGGACCAUCAGUCGACAAGGUCUGAGUAGAGGAGAGACGUAAGAGACGAGCGAACACAUCAUCCAAUGAUGGUACUGAUGGACUAGCAAGAAUUUAAUCUCAUAUAGACUCAAGAUCUGGACAGAGGCCAAUGAGGGUUAACACCAUAAAGAACUUGUCAGUCUAUAUUUGUUGAGCUUCAGCACCAUUAGUGAAGGGCAUCAAAGUUAAGAACUCUUCCUUAAGAGAUGCAAUCCGACCAAUAUAAGUAGACAGAUCCAUGUCCUGCUGUCUCACAUGAACAAUAUCAGAAACCACCUUAUAAAAUCAUUGAAUAUCAUUCGUGUAUAAUCCUUUAGCCUGAGUCCAAAAUUUAAAGCAGGUUUUGUAGGCACGAAGAUGAUAUAAAAUUUUGGGAUUAACAAAUUGCCAUAAUACGCUGCAUAAUUGUGCAUCGAUUUUCUUCCAUUGCACUUUGUCAACAUUAGGUAUAACAUCCUCAGGUGUAACAAGACGAUCUUCAUAACCUUGUCCCAUAAACCAGAGUUCCACGGACGUUGACCAGGAGAGAUAAUUCUCACUACCAAUCAAUUUUUCCAAUGUGAUAGUAGGAGAUCCAGAGAUGACGGAUGUAAAAAUAGGGUUUUUAGUCGCCAUAUCCACUUCACCUGAGUUUGAAUUACGUUUGGAUCGAAGAGAGCCCCAAAGAGAGGUCAAAUCACAACUAUGGAAGAAGAACCUAGUAUGUCGGGACCCAAACAAGGGAGAAAAGUGACUAGAGAUGAAGAAGAGGCCUUCCCAAGGCACACACAGGUCUCGCCUAAGGAAGAGAGUUGUCGUCGAAGGCCGGAGGAGGCUGAAAGAAGACCCGUGGAGGCUGAAAUGCCAAAAAAAUGGAAAAGUAGGGUUUUGAGAGGAUUGAAGGAGGCUUAGAAGUGCAAAACGGUGCCGGACUAGCCUACUGGUAUAAGCGCAGCACUAGAAAGUGGGCCACGCGCCCUCACGUGCUAGCGUGUGGGAUUCAGGCCGCCGGAGAAAGGAGACGGGUGGAACAUAUGAGAGGGUAGGAAUUUAGCUGAACAAUUAGAUUGUUUGAUUAACUCGCUAAUAGACAACAAAUUGCAAGAUAAAUUAGGUACAUGUAGGACAGGAUUGAGAGUAAUAGACUCAGAAAUAUGAACACUCCCUUUGCCAGCAACUGGGGAUAAAGUACCAUCUACAAUUUUCACUUUUAAAUUACCGGUACAGGGAAAGUAUGUAGAAAAUAAAUGAUGAGCAUCAGUCAUAUGAUCAAAUGCACAAGAGUCAAUAAUCCAGGGAGUAAUAUGAGACAUGGUGCUAAGUGCUAUUAGAAAGGUACCUUUGUGGGCCAAAGAACCAGAUGACAGAGUAGUAGAAGACUGACCAGAGGCUUGGAAAUUAGAAAAAGCUCAUAUAAUUUCGUAAGAUGGUUGGAAUUAAACCCCACACUAGAAGUUGACUAACGAAUUUCUAUGGGUGUUUUGUCUGCUUGGGUUUCGGUGGAGGCCUGAUGACUAUGGGCUUUAUUGGGCUAUCUAGGCUUCCGAUCCGCGGGCUUGCCAUGUAAAGUCCAACAAGUGUCUUUAGUGUGGCCUAAUUUCUUACAAUGCUCACAAUAAGUCCUCUUGGACUGUCUUAGGCCUAAUCCAGAGUGAAGCCCACCAAAUCCAUCAUGAGGCCCACGGUUUACAAGGGUUGAAGCCUCGGGCCCAGACGAGAGAUGUUCCCUCAGCAUCACUCUCCUUCUGUUUUCCUCUCGUCGCACCUCAGAGAAAACCUCUCGGAUGGAGGGCAAUGGCUGGCGACUGAGAACUUUGCUCUUGACGUCAUCAAGCUCGCAGUUCAACCCCGCUAGAAACUCGAAGACCCUCUCAUUCUCCAUCUUCUUCUUGAAGCGCACACUAUCACCCGUGCACUCCCAUUCUUCUUCGCAGUUGAGAUCGAGAUCUUGCCACAAACCCAACAUCUCGGUAUAGUAUUCCGUGACUUCCCAAUCUCCUUGCUUCAUCUGCUAGAGCCGCGUCUUGAGUUCAAAGAUUUGGGAAGCAUUCUCGGCAUCGGAAUAUGAUUCCCAUAUCGCAUCCCACACAUCAUUUGCCGUCGAGAGGAACAUAUAAGUUUUGUCAAUGGCUGGCUUCAUGGAGUUAAUCAAGCAUGAGGUGAUGAAGGAGUUUUCAGACCGCCAUUUCUGGGAUGCUGCUACAUCGGUCGGAGGUGGUCGCCAAGUCUCGCCGGUAAGAAACCCUAACUUUCCCUUUCCGUCAAUAACAAGCUUGAUUGCCUGCGCCCACUCUCUGUAAUUCUUACCUUUCAAUUUUUCAACGGUAAGAUGGAGUGGGGAGUUGUCAAAUGCAUUGGCCGAGCCCAUUGAGGAGUUUAUCUCCGACUCUCUUUCAUGGGUUGCCGAUUGAUUGGACUCAUGGCUGUCUCCUUUUUGGUCAUCCAUGGAUUGGUUAGGGUUUUAAAGCAAACCGUGCUCUGAUAUCAUGAAGAAACUGAGAAUCACUCAAAUAUUCAUUCAAUUGUAUGUGUUUACAUAAUCGGGUCCCUAUUUAACAUAUACACAGAGAACAAAAUAUGGAAAAAAAAAUACAAAUAUGGAAAAAAAAAAAUCACACAAAUCACCACAAUAUUUGUCACAAUUGGGGCCUCAAUAUUUCCCACAAUAUCCUACAAAUCACCAUUCAAAUCAUACCGGAUUUCCACACUUGCACAUAAUACGCCACUCUAGAUUAAGCUCCUUGUGAGGCCUUCAUUUCUAGAGCAUGCUAUUGUUAUUAACCCUCUUACUAGCCACAAACCAUGCAAUCAUCUUUACUUUGGAGGGGGCUUUAUAUUUUCAAAGAAAUUUAAAUUUUGAGGAUGCACUUUUUCCACCUUUUUUAAAGCAAAAUGGGAAGAAAAAUCUUUUAGCAUUUUCUUUCAUCUUCUCCUCAACUUUUAUUCCUUAUCAUUUUUCAUGGUAUCUUGUAUCUGAAUAUAAGAAGUCAUUUUCCAUAACAAUUUUUUUUUUCUUAGCACUUUAUAGGGACCAAACAUAGUCUAUCUUAUAAUUGCAUUAUUGUGGGACCAAAUAAUCAUAUUUGGAAUACGACAAAAUUUGGCUUUCUUUAAUUGUCUUGAAAGGUUAUUUUUUCAUCCAUUAAGAAAUAUAAUUUUUUUUAAAUUUUUAUUUCAUGUGGAAAAAUUAUUAUAGAAGUGAUUCUGUAUUUUUCCUAAGAAGGCAAUAUCAAAUCAAUUAACAAUUAAAAGGUGUUUUUUUAUUUUCUAAUAACUGAAGGAAGGUUCUACAAGUGAAAGCAAUAUUGUAACCCAAUUUAUCUCAAUUAGUUACACAUCAGUUUAUGAGAUUGCGGUCUCAUGAUAUAGAGGUUAUCAUUUAAAUAUAUUUAGAAUAGGUUAGGUUUACCACGAUGCAUGCUCUUUAUGCAUGGGAUUAACUGGUAUGGGUUCUCUAUCUUAAUCUGCAACACUCAAAUCAAUUUGGUGGAUGCAUUUUUUUUCCUUUUUGGGAAGGAGUUGAGAACUACCAAAUAAAUUUGUUGUUAUCUUACAGCCUAUGUUUCUAUGUUUCCUUCCUGGAUAGAUCUCGAAGGACUAGAUAUGCAAACAGGUUCUUUUACCUUAAAACAAAUAAAAGCUGCCACCAAAAAUUUUGAUUUUGCAAACAAGAUUGGAGAAGGAGGUUUUGGUCCAGUUUAUAAGGUAUUCUAGCUAAACCAUGACAUUGUAAUCUUCCUUUAUAGAUUCUACCUAGAAUUCUAAAGAAAAAUUGGGUGCAGGGUCUGUUAUCCGAUGGUACCAUAGUUGCAGUGAAACAGCUUUCCUCUAUAUCAAGGCAAGGAAAUCGUGAAUUUUUGAAUGAGAUAGCCAUGAUUUCUUGUUUGCAACACCCAAAUCUGGUGAAACUUCAUGGAAGUUGUGUUGAAGGAGAUCAACUGCUACUGGUAUACGAGUACAUGGAAAACAAUAGCCUAGCCGGCGCUCUGUUUGGUAAGUAUCAUUUACUUAAUUUGAAUACACUUUCUGUUAAGACAAGUAAAAUAUAGAUAAUAUCAAAUAUUAAGUUUUGUAAGGGAAUUUUUCUCAGGUCCAGAAAAUGGUCAGCCGAACCUGGACUGGCCAACUAGGCUUAAAAUCUGUAUUGGUAUUGCCAAGGGAUUAGCUUUUCUCCACGAAGAAUCAAGGAUUAAGAUUGUCCACAGAGAUAUUAAAGCUACUAAUGUGCUUCUUGAUAGAGACCUAAACCCUAAAAUAUCUGACUUUGGACUGGCUAGGCUUGAUGAAGGGGAGAAGAGCCAUAUUAGCACCAGGGUUGCUGGAACCAUGUGAGUUACUGUGUCCUUAUCAAAUUGACAGAUUAUUCCACAUUUCAUACAUAGUCAAAUGCUCAUAAUUGUUGAGACUUUUUACUGUUGAUUAUUGAGUGACAAGACAUCACACUAUUCACUUGCAGAGGAUAUAUGGCACCAGAAUAUGCACUGUGGGGUUAUCUGACAUACAAGGCAGAUGUUUACAGUUUUGGGAUUGUGGCUUUGGAAAUUGUUAGUGGAAAACACAACAACAAUUAUAUACCCAGCAAUGGCUGCCUUUGUCUUUUAGAUUGGGUACUCACUAACUUUCUAUAUAUCGGUGUUAAUAAUCAAUCAGGUUGUGUUUUUCAGUUGAAAGGAUAUAAUGAGCAUCUGCAUGAUGGAAGUUAAGAUUGGAGAUAUGUUUAAAUUGCAGGCCUGUCUGUUGCAGCAAAGCAGAAAGUUUCUGGAGCUGGUUGAUGAGAAGUUGGGGUCUAAAGUCGAUGAAGAAGAGGCAGAAAGGAUGAUUAAAGUGGCUCUCUUGUGCACAAAUGCAUCCCAAUCACUUAGGCCUACCAUGUCUGAAGUGGUAAGCAUGCUUGAAGCCCGAAUGCCUAUUCCUGAUAUGAUCCCAGGACCAAGUACCUACACUGAAGAUUUGAGGUUUAAGGCAAUGAGAGACUUUCGUCAAGACUAGAGAAACCAGAGUCUAUGAGUGAAGGUCGUCAAUCCCUAAAUUUAACAGGUCAUACAGCGCUAGAGCUUUGCUCUACCUCUACAUCUGGCCCUGAUUUCUUUGAAAUCAACCCACAUUCGGAAUCCUGUUAAUAAUGAAGUGUUUUUCUUUUAAAGAAUGCUGAUCCUACUCCUGAAGGCUCUGAAUGGAUUUGCUGAUCUGCAUCUCCAUCUCAAUGAGCAUCCUAAAGUUUUGGCUAUUUAAUCAAACUUCUAUUCAAUGGGGCUACACCCGCAUCUUGUAC
rnacentral:lncRNA from 1 species